AAGAACAAAAAUCAAUUUAUAUUGCAAAACCUUUCAUAACAUUUAAAUAUUAUCAAUAUAUAUUACACAAUCCAAAUACUUCAAUAUACAAGAUAUCUUAUUACAAGACAUCUUAUUCUUAUAAUUGAAUAAUCUUAACUGCUAUUAUCCAAUCAAAUUCCUUCUAAUCGUAGCUGAAUUUAAGGGCUAAAUUUACCAAAUCUAAAAGCUAAAUUUAGAAGGAUUAUUAUUUUUCACUCCAUGAACAUAAGUACUGCGAUCAUGCAUUAUCACAGACAACUUCUUCAUUCGAUUAAUUUGAUGGGUUAGGGAUAUAAGUUGAAGAAGAAACACUUUAAACAUAUUAAUCAUAUCUGCAAACAAAUAAAAGAAAAAGGAAAAGAAAUUGGUUUCCAAAUUCUAACAGUUGCAAAAUAAAUUAACAAGCAAUACAGAGACAAAAGUUAAUAGAAAUAAACAUAUUUUGCUCGAAAACAAAAAUAUUCAUAAGCUAUGAACAUAUCAACUCAAUUAUCUUAAAGGAAAAUUAGAGAAUAAGAAUGUUGUAGCUCAUUUGAUUAGAAAUAAGGUACAAUAUAUUUAACUAUAGAUAUAAAUUAAAAAAAAAAAAGUGAAUUCAUUCUCUUAUAUAUAUGAAUAAGAGAGAGUGAGAGAGCAAAUUAUAGCAUUCAAGUUUUUAGUAUAACAUCUAGUUUCAAGAAAUUGUGUUUAUUUCUCAUUAUAUAAAAAACAAUGAUUUUCCAGCUAAAAAAAAUUCAUAAUAAAAUUUAAUAUCUAAUACAACAUAGUAUGUUUUUUUUUUAAAAAAAGGCUUGCAAUUAUGUCUUUUAGCCACCAAGCCUAAGUGUGAGAGUAAAGCAUUUAACUCUUGAUAAUUACACACUUUCUGCAUAAUACAAUUAGUGUCAACUCAUUCCAAAUUACUCUACUAGAAUAAUAAAAUAUUUCAGCCAUUAUAUUGAUGGAGGUACUAAUCCAAAAUAUUCACAAUAAAUAUAGAGUUCAAGGCAAUUAAUAGAUGUACCUCUUAAAGCUCUGCAUAUUCUCUAUCUUUCUAAGGCAAUCUUUAAUUCAUAUAGUUCCACCCUCUUUGAAUUCACAAACCUAGACUUUACAAACAAAUGCCUUAUAUCAUUAAUCUUGAUACCGUUUUAACAAAAAUAUCACUAUAUUCAUAAAUAAAAAUCACAAGUUAACGCUUUAACCUUGUGUUGGGCUGUCUUAGUCUGCAAAUGGCAGAGGAAUCUACGAUAAUGUGUAUGUUUUCUUGAGAAGAAAAAAGAACAAAAAAUACUUUUGAUUAUUCCAGCAAACACCAUAGUCCAUAAUCACACCAAAAAAAAAAAAAAAAUUUCUUUCGCCAUUUGCCUGCACUCUGCAGCAUCUUUAAAUAUCUUGUAUUCAUUUUAAGUAAUUAAAAUGGUGUAAUAAUGUUUGAAGGAUAGAAAGAAAGCAUACACUAGGCUAUCAACUUGCAUGGAAUUGGCCAAAUAUGGCAUCUGAACUCAAAGAAAAAAAAAGAACAAAAUUAAAUAUCAUCACAACACACAAUGUGUCUGUCCAUUAAUUAAAAACCUAGUAAAAAAUUAACUCCAAGCAAAAAUAAAUAUUUUAUAUUAGGCUCUACUCAAGCUUCAUAGAAAACUAAUUGAAAGUACCAUUGCCAAAGUAGUAAAGUUGGGAAGGCACUGAAGAAAGAAGGGAAUUUCUCAUUUUUAAUUUAUUAGACCAGCAGCCUGCGAUAACAUAAUGUAAAGAAAAUAAAUAACUGAAAUGAAAUAAUUUCAUAAUGAAACUUGGACCCAUUGAAGCAUCAUCUACAAAGUUCCUCACCUCUGAUGAGAGCAAAUGAAAAAGCACUUGUGCAAAAACCAACUUUAAAGAGAAGAACUUUUAUAGGAAAAAGGAAAGGAAAGAGGGCUAAUAAUGGGACUGGAACUUGAAGCUGAAGUGGUUUCUUGUAGCAAAGGCUUUUUAACAUCUAUAGAAACUGUGGCUAUUUAUUGCAUGAAUAUGAAACGUCCAGGUGACUCAUCAAAAGAUAGAAACCCAAUUGCUUUAUAUAAUCACUAAGCUAUGGUCGGCUCCUUGGCUAUUUAGCUAAUUAAUAAUUUAUCUGUUUGAUUUUGCUUUCAUUUAAGUUUGACUUGUGUUUCAAUUUGUAUUCGGUAUAGUAAAAAAUUGUAUAAUGGGAUUAAAUUAAUACGAACCUAGCUAGUCAAAACUUAACGUACGUCAAAACUUGUGCAAAAAGCAAAUUCAAAUGCUGAUUGGGAAAAUAAAAAGAGAAAAAAAAGAUUCACAAUUCAUACCUGGCACCAGCAGUCUUGAUAGUAGCUGCAAGAGAGCCAGCCACAUGCAUGGAUACUUCCUUGCCUUUACUCUUCCUUUUAGCAGCAGUACUUCUUCUACCAUAAACAGAAGAAGGCUCCAUAACUUCAUGCUUAUCACCGAUGCCUAAACUCCGUACACAACACACGCGUUGGCACUCAGAAGACAAAUAAUUUAACAUAAACCACAAAAUAAAUAAAAAGGAAAAAUACUCAUAACGGGAAUUGUGACUUAAACUUGAUAUUAUCAUUGUCUUUGAACUCCAUCAUCAUUAAACAAACUAUUGAGAAGCCCUUCAAAUAAUUUAAGGUUGUCCAUAGGGCAUACUCAUGCAUUCAAAGAAUACGAAUAAUUUCGACAAGUAUAGAACAAACCCAUCUAUAGAAUCAAUAGUUCAAGCUCAAAAUUGACAUCAAUUUCAAUUUCACCAAAUCACAACCUCAUUCAAGUUCGCAAACCCUAGAACACCCAAAUCCAAACACACCCACAAAACUUCCUGAUUACAAAAUCACUAAAUUCUCUAACAAAAUAAAAUAUCUAAGAUAACCAAUACAACUCAAACAAGCUCAACUCGUAACCAAAUUACAAAAUGAAGAAUGAACCAACUGAUAACAAACAUAUCACAAGAAGUCAUCUUAGUUUCAAAAUCACUCAUAAUUUAAAAAAAAAAAUUCUUGCCUGAUUAAUUCGAUCGAGAACCUCUUUUCUCUUUGCUGCUUCUUCUUUGCUUUCAUAAAGCCCAGCUUCAACCAAAACCAUCAACCCCAAAGGAAAUCAAAAUCAGGGUUUCAUAUAUAUAUAUAUAUAUAUAAGUAAUUAUAGAUAAAGAUAAAACAAAACCUUUUCUAAGUCACAGGUUCUUUGUAUAUCAGCCUAUGUGGAUUCUAUAACUGAUAUUGGUUUCGUCGACAGUGACAAACUCAUUCUCUCUGAUCUCAACAUUAAAAACAAUAAAAUAUCCUGAACAAAAAAAGCCCUAUUUUUUUUAAUCUGACUUUCGAACCCUAACUUUGGCCAAGUUCUUCACAACACUUUCUAGGCGUCUUUCUGGGGUAUUUUAGCUCAAGGAUGGCGGCUUUGAAGGUUUACAGUAGCGGCUUGUGAGGUAAAUCGUUAGUAGAGAGAGAGAGGUAGAGAGAGAGAGAGAGGGGGGAAGAGAGAGAGAGAAGAGAGCUUCGGUUCAAAGAAGAAAAUGGCGGUGGGGAUAGAUUUUUUGCUCGUCAAAAUUUUUAGAUUUUAGGUUUCCAGUACACCUCAUUAAGACAUAGUUUCUAGAUAAUUUAAUUUAAUUUUUAAUGGCGGUGGGGAUAGAUUUUUUGCUCGUCAAAAUUUUUAGAUUUUAGGUUUCCAGUACACCUCAUUAAGACAUAGUUUCUAGAUAAUUUAAGACAUAGUUUCUAGAUAAUUUAAUUUAAUUUUUAAAAAUUAAAUGCAACUUGUGGUCUAGUGGUUUAACGUUUAAAAUUAGAAAGCUAAGGUUCAGAAGUCUGCGGUUCAACUCUAGUGGAGACAAAAUUAAAAUUUUAUUUUUUUAAUUACUAAUACCUUAAUGUCACAUAUCUCUGAUACUUAAUUUACAGACGCUAUAGUAUUAGAAAUUUGUGAUACUUAUCUGUUAAGCACGGAAAAUGCCCCAAUCUCAUGUAAUUACUGAUACUUGUUAAUAAAGUGUCACAAGACAAGUGUCAGUAAAAACCAUUUUCUAGUAGUGCAAGAACAUAAAGUUUGUAAACUAGUCAAGUCUUUAUAUGGUCUUAAACAAGCUACAAAGCAGUGGCACGAAAAGUUUGACAAAGUGAUUGUCUCAUAUGGAUUUAAUAUUCAUGAAUAUGAUAAAUGUGUCUAUAGCAUAUUCAAUGGAAAUAAAGGUGCGAUUAUUUGUUUAUAUAUAGAUGACAUUUUAAUUUUUGGUACUGAGAGUGAGAGCAUUGAACUCACUAAGUCAUUACUGUCAUCUAAUUUUGAUAUGAAAGACAUGGGACUUGAUGAUGUGAUUUUGGGGAUUAAAAUUAUAAAAAAUGAGAAUGGCCUAGUAUUGACCCAAUCACAUUAUAUUGAGAAAAUUUUAAAGAAAUUUGAUUAUUAUAAUUGUAAGCUUGUGUCAACACCUUUUGAUUCAACAUAAGACUGUAUCCUAACACUGGCAGAUCAGUAUCCCAAUUAGAAUAUGCACGUGUUAUUAUGUGUCUUACGUAUACUAGGCCUGAUAUUGCUUUCGUUGUUGGAAAGCUGGGUAGAUAUACUAAUAAUCCAAGCCAAGCACACUGGCAAGCAGUGUACAGAAUUCUAAAAUAUUUAAAAUAUACAAUGGAUUAUGAUAUAUACUAUAUUGGAUAUCCUUCAGUUUUAGAAGGAUUUUCGGAUGCUAGUUGGAUUACUGAUCGAGAUGAUCAUACAUCCACAAGUGAUUGUACUUAUACAUAAUCAUAUGACAUAACUCCACACUGAAUAUCAUACAUUAAUAGACAUGGAAUUCAUACAUACAUACAUGACAAACUGUACCUAACAUGAAACGACCCGUCCCGAAUCCCCUCGAGCGAGUCAAUCUAGUCUCAUCAAAACAGACUUGAUAAUAAUCUAAUUAGUCAAUAUUCUGCCGAAAAUUCGACAGAGUCUCCUCUAUAAAUAUAACACUCCUAAUUUGCAAAUAUAAAUAUAACACUCCCAAUAUAAUUCAAUAUACAACAAACUCUAGUGAUCAAUAUCAUCAACUAAAAUGCUGAGUUUUACUCAAAAUAUCUUCAGAAUCUCAAAAGAUAAUAUUAUAACUAAUAGUAAUAUCUCAAUUUAUUCUUAAUCCCAAAAAAAAUAAUAUAACAAAAUUAUACAAUCCCAACAUGACGCGAUAACCAAAAUGUCCUGACAAAAAAAUUUAUAUCUUCUAACACCAUCAUGUGGCGAAGACUCAAAAUAUAUUUACAGUCGCUGGGUCGGUUAGGUGUACCUGCAACCUCUUGGUGAGGGGGAAAAAUAUAAUAAAAAUGGGGUGAGUUUAAAACUUAGUGAGAUCAGUGAGUGGAUAGUAGUUUUUGAAAAUUCAUUCUUACUUUAAAAGAAAUAAUCAUAUCAUUUUCAGACACGAUUUCAUCAAACCAUAUGCGAGAAACCAGUAAUAAAUCAUUUAACAUUUAAAUCAGAUUACUAACCAUGAAAAACAUAUAUAAUAUCGUACCCAAUAACCAUAGAAAUCAUAUCACAAUAUCAAAUAGAAUACACAAAUCUGAAAAUCUUCACCAAACAAGUACCCAGGAAAAUAAUCUCGUCAUAUCCGGACCUCAACGGACGGGCAAUGACGUACUAUCUAGGUACCAUUACACCCCGGAGCUACACUGAUAUACAGGGAAAUACCAUCUCAUAUCUUAUCAUAUUUGUGCAUGCAUAAUCUAGUCCCCAAAGGACAAAAGCGCCCAAGCACACGACCCAAAGCCUCUGUGUGUACUCAGACGAGCCCCAAAGGCCUGUAUCUCAUUUGUAUCAUCUGUAUCUCAAUAUUUGUCUGUAUCUCUGUAAUCAUCAUACCACAUACAUAUGCCCACAAAAGGCAUAAACGCCCAAACACACAACCCAAAGCCUCUAUGUGUGUUCAGACGGGCCCCAAAGGCCUCUCAUAUCAUUUGUAUCACUGUAUCUGGAGGGAAGGGUACUGUCUAAUGAUUUCAAAAAUAAUCAUUACACUUAUAUUCACAUACCUUUUAGCCAUACUUUAAAUCAAUACCACAUUUUAAUCCACUUUUCUUAUCUUUAAAAUAUUAUCAUGCUUACUCAAAGUCGAUACACAAAAUCAUUAACUAAACAUUUUAAUAAAAUCUCAAUGCAUGAAUAAAAUCCAUUUCGAGGAAAUCAUUAAAUCAGAACAUUUAAAAUACUUAUUUCACAAACAUACUUUACUAUCAUAAUUAACUAUGAAAAUAGGUUUUGUAUAUUCCACUCACAGUGACGGUGUUCACGCUCGGUUAUCGUCCACGUCCGCGGAUCGGUUCUCGCUCGCGAAUCCUCCUAAAUCAAGGAAAUGACAUAAUUAUUUUCCAUAAAUCAGAAUUACGACUAAAUUUAUGCAAUAAACUCGAAACGAACAUCUAUUCAUAAUUUACAACUCCCGUGUCAGUAAAAUUACCAAAAUGCCCUAGAGUCCGUAAAUAAUUAAAAUACUCAGAAAUCAGAAAUCACCAAAUUACCCUCGGAAUUGUAAUUACAUCCAAUCCUCAAUUUCAUGUAUUACUAAAAUAUCCACAGGCUCAGAAACUAUAAAAUUGCCCCUAUAAUGUGAAAUUACUGAAAUGCCCUUGUCGGUCAACGAUCACCGAAAUUUAGUCAACAUUGGCCGGGAAGCACGGGUUAGACACUUUUGGCCAAGCUGAGUUUAAUGGUAUUGGCGGUGAGCUCCAACGCGCGGUAACGAUGCCAGAAUCUAGCUCGACAGCCGUGAAUUCCAACAAUUGACCGGCGGAAAAACAAUGACUCCCGGUGGCUAUGGAUGGUUAGAAAUGAAAGAGGGAAUCAUGGGGAAAAAAAUCCAACCAGUGGUAUCACCCAAAACCAGUGAAAAUCCUGGCGGAGCAAAGCGAAACAAUUGCGGGUUUUCAAGCUUCAAUCGCCGGUGUUCCGGUUGAUUUUCGGCGGCGAGGAUGGCAGGGGAAUGACGGCUAGCUUCUAAGCUUCAGAUUGGUACCAAGCUCGGCCGAAAAGGUGGCCGGAAAUGGGAGAUAUGGCUGGGUCACGUUUACGGGUUCCAGGUCGGGUUUUCGAGUCGGGUUGACGGCUUCUCUCUCUCACUUCUCACACACGUGUGGCUUCUGUUUUGCUCUGUUUUUUCCAGCUUUUUUUUUUUUAAUAAAAUCCUUAACCGCCUCAUUUUUAUUUUAAAUUCUACAUAUGUUACAAAACAGUACCAGGAGAAAUAACUCUAAUAAGUAGCAUACUAGUACUUAGUACUCAUACAUAAUCAUGUGACAUAACUCCACACUGAAUAUCAUACAUCAACAGACAUGGAAUUCAUACAUACAUACAUGACAAACUGCACCAAACAGUAUUAGGGGAAAUAACUCUUAAUAGUCACCGGGAUCAUCAUCGCAUGAGUAGAGCAAGGGAAAAACCUCUCAAUACCUAGCGUAAUUAAACUAUAUCGCACGGGUAAGUAACCUAACUCUCAAUACACAAGCACAUAGUCUAUGGGGAAAGGUACAUAUAUGGUGACUAGUAAUCACAUCUCAUGACUCAAUCAAACAUACGAUAUGCGUACAUGUAACCAUAACAUGAUAUUAAAUCAUAAUAUCAAACAUAAAUGCUUCACGGAAUACAUAAUAGUAAUAAUAGUAUCCACUCACAAAUCCUUUUUCACUCCGGGGUUCGUUGGGUCUCUUGUGGGUUCCCGGAUUCUAGAGUUCCUCCUAAAAUAUAGGAUUUGUAAUUACCGGUUAGAACUGAUAUAAAAACUUAUGCAUAUCAUGUAAACAGUAACAUAACUGCUCAAACUUCAUAAAUCUAUUACCCACGAGUUUACUAGAUAUUAAUCUAAAUAUCCAAUUCUAUUUUCUGUAACUUUUCCUCUCAAUUUCUCUUUUUCCCACCUUCAGCUUCUUUCUUUUCUUUUCUUUCUCUUUUUCACUUUUCUCUCUCUUUUUCUUCUUUUGUUUUGCUCUCGGUUCUCCAAUUUGGUAAAUGAAGCAAUUAUCAAAAUGUUGCAUUUUAUAAAGCCACCGAAUGAGCCACCGAAUGCAAGCAAGUAGCUGACUGUUACUUUUGUAGAUUGUCAUGUUUGGCUUUUUUUUUUCCAAGUAGUGCAUGACAGUAAUACAAUCUUUGCUAUCAUCCCGCCUCAAAUUAGCAACAUCUCCAAUCUUAAAUUCCUUGACAUGGUAAAUAAUCAAUUGUCUGGAGUAAUACCACAAGAAAUCGACCUUCUAACUCAUCUAAAACAGCUUUACAUUAAUGUGAAUAAGUUACGCGGCUCAGUUCCACGAGAAGUAGGUCAAUUAAGCUCUCUUAAACAACUAGUCUUAUAUUGCAACGGUUUGUCUGGUUGGUUCCCUUCUUCUUUCGGUAACUUAAACAACUUGGCUAUGUUGAAUCUCAAUAAUAAUUAACUUUUUGGCUCUAUUCCUUCAUCUAUGGGAAACUUGAAGUUUCUUUCCACUUUAGACUUGAGUAUAAAUAAAUUUAGUAGUUCAAUGCCAAAUUCUUUGAGUAACUUAACCAGCUUGGUUAUUUUGUAUCUUUAUGAAAACUCAUUUCUUCUGUUCCUUCACUUAUUGGAAACUUGAAGUCUCUCUUUCAUCUAGAUUUGUCUGAAAAUUAGCUUAGUGGUUCGAUCCCCCAUUUUUUGGGCAAUUUGAGCAACUUGGUUGUAUUGCAUCUUGGUGAUAAUUCACUUUUCGGUUCUAUCCCCCCAAUUCUAGGAAAAGUCCAAUCUCUUUUGAGUUUAGGAUUUGAUCUUAAUCUACUCAAUGGUGUCCUUCCUCCUUCAAUUAGCAAUCUGAGCAAUUUAGAAGGUUUAUACCUAUACUCUAGUUUGGUUUCAGCAGAAAUAGGAAAUCUCUUGCAAUUAAUUGAGCUAGAGAUAGACAACAAGCAGCUUUUUGGUCAAAUUCCUAAAAGCCCGAGAAAUUUCACAAGCUUAAACAUAGUACAUCUUGAACAAAAUCAUCUCACGGGAAACAUAUAUGAAGUUUUCGGCAUAUACCCAAACCUGACGUUCUUAGAUCUUAGUCAAAACAAUUUUUAUGGUGAAAUCUCAUCUAAUUGGGGCAAAUGUCAGUAAUUAGGCUCUUUAAAUUUUUCAAUGAAUAACAUCACUCGGAGCAUACCUCCUAAGAUUGGAAAGUUAUACUAACUUCAUAAACUUGAUUUUUCAUUGAAUCACAUAGUUGGAGAGCUUCCAAUUGAACUUGGAAAUUUAAAGUCCUUAAACUACCGUGCUUUGAAUGGUAAUAAAGUUUAUGGGAGCUUACCUCGAGUACUUGGCUCAAUUAGUGAUCUAGAGUAUCUUGACUUGUCUACAAAUUAGUUGGGCAACUCUAUCCCAGAAACUCUUGGAAACUUGUUGAAAUUACACUACUUGAGCAACAAUGAGUUUCGAAAAGAAUUUCCAGUUGAAUUGGAGAAGUUGGUUCAGCUUACAGAGCUAGAUUUAGUCAUAACUUUCUAGGAGGAGAGAUACCGCCCCAAAUCUGUAAUCUGGAAAGCUUGGAGAAGCUUAAUCUCUCGUACAAUAACCUUUUUGGUUUAAUUCCAGGUUAAUUUGAAGGAAUGCAUGGCUUGUCAUGCAUAGACAUAUCAUACAAUGAGUUGCGAGGUCUAAUUCGUAACAGCACAGGAAUCCAUUAUAAUCUUGUGGAUGCAUUACAAGGGAACAAAGGAUUGUGCGGUGAUGUUGACGGUUUUCAGCAUUGCAAAGACUAUGUAACUCACAAACAUGUCUUCAAAAAGAAAUGGUUUUUAAAUAUGUUUCCACUUUUUGGAAUACUUGAGCUUUUGUUCUUUGUGGUUAGAAUGAUUUCUGGAAGAAUGAAGAAGGCUUCAAGAGAAAACAAAGUAAGUUGUUGAAUAAUCAAGGACUAUUUUCGAUAUUAACUUUUGAAGGUAAAAUUAUUUUCGAUAUUAACUUUUGAAGGUAAAAUUUUGUAUGAAGAAGUCAUUAGAGCGACGAACAAUUUUGACGCUAAGUAUUGCAUCGGCACAGGUGGACAGGCCAGCGUUUACAAAGCUGAGCUGCCAUCUUGGGAGAUCGUAGUAGUUAAGAAAUUUCACUCACCACAUCCUGAUAUGGUAGUGCAACAAGCAUUCUCGAAUGAGAUCAAGGCAUUGACAGAGUUGCGACAUCGAAAUAUUGUGAAAUUUUAUGGCUUCAGUUUCCAUCCCCGACAAUCAUUUUUACUUCACGAAUAUCUUGGAAGGGGUAGUUUGGCCAUAAUUCUGAGCAAUGAUGCAGCGAUAGACGAAUUCAGCUAGACUGUGAGAAUGAAUGUGAUUAAAAGUGUAGCUAAUACCUUGUCUUACAUGUCAAAAUUGGCUGCAUAUAGAAGCUUUGACAAGAAUGGUUGGCAUGGCUGCAUCAGGAAGCUUUGACAAGAAUGGUUGGCACUUGGUUUUGAAUUCUAGAUGCCGUAAUAUUUGGUAUUAGAAAAGAAAAAUUCAAAGUUUGAAAUUUGUAAGUUGUACAGCUUGAGGUUUUGGCCACGUGUUUGACAUUUGAGGCAAAGUUUUGCCUAUAAAUACAAGCUCUCAAUCUAAAGCUUGUAUCCAAUUCCAUCGAGAGAGAAGCAUUGCUUUCUUGAGUGUUGAGAGUUUUAAGAGUUUAAUAAACUCUUGAGUGUCUAGUGAGUGAGAGAUUGGGUGUAUUGGGGUUUUGGGUAGUGAGCUAAAAUAUUACAAUACUUGUAAUCCUUAUCUCACUAGUGAAAUAUUUUCCUUCUGUUUUCGCCCGUGGAUGUAGGCUAAAAGCCGAACCACGUAAUUUCUGGUGUCCUCUUUUGUGCUUGUUCUUUAUUUUCUUACAAUUUCAACUUAGCUGCGUGUCUGCUUCUCCCACCAAUUUUCCUAACAUUACAUGCAUCAUGAUUACUUCCCACCAAAUGUCCAUCGAGACAUAUCAAGCAAGAAUGUGUUGCUGGGUUUAGAUUAUGAUGCUCAUGUUUCUGAUUUUGGGAUCUCAAAAUUUCUCAAGCCAGACUCGUCAAAUUGGUCUAAAUUUGUAGGCACAUUUGGAUAUGUUGCUCUGGCAUAAAUUCUUAAAUUAAUUAUAUGACACCACUUGUUUCAUUAAUGAGCGUCAUAUCUAAACGAUCAUUCUUAUUGUUCACUUUGCAGAGCUUGCUUACACAAUGAAGGUUAACGAAAAAUGUCAUGCGUACAGCUUUGGAAUAUUAACAUUGGAAGUGAUACAGUGGAAUCAUCCAAUAAAUUUUAUUUCCUCAAUUUCAUCUUCAUCUCCCAACAAUAACAUUUCACUUAAUGAACUUUUGGACCCUCGACUUCAAAAAAAAGAAGCAAAAUACAAUAAAAGAAGAUUAGAUAAUCGGAGGCGUAGUGAACCCCAAAAGAUAGUUAGCAUAGAACUCACUAAUUAAUAAAGUAAUAAAUGGGAUAAAAAAUGAUCUACUAAUAGGCUAUAUAUAUGUGUGUGUGUGUGUGUGUGUAUCUAGUCCAGAAUUUUAAAGUGCUGGAAAGUCCAAAAAAGCUUUAAAACCAUGUAGUUUUAAAACUUUCCAGUACUUUUCACACUUUAAAACCCUGGAUUAGAAUAUAUAUAUAUAUAUGCACACACACACACACACACACACACACACACACACACACACACAUACAUACAUUUAUUAGAAAUGUUCAAACCCGGAAUUUUAAAGUGCAAGAAAGUUCAUAAAAGCUUUAAAACCGCAUGGUUUUUAAGUUUUCCCAAACUUUUCCGUACUUUAAAAUUCUGGACCAGAAAACUACUCUAUAUAUAGAACCUCUAAAUAUGAGUACUCUAUAUAGGAAUAACCUCAUAGAAAUAAAAAAUUGUGAUCCCAACUUGGGACCAGUUAUAAUUAGGAAUAAACUCCACAUUGUAAUAAGUUAUAUUUUUUGUAUGUCCUGUCUUAAUAAACUUACUUCCAUAUAGUAAUAAUAUUUCAAAAAUAUAUGCCAUGUUACAUUAAAUAAUUAAGAUGGAACAAAAUAUCUUUCUAAAGUUACUUGUGACAAUGAUUUGUUCUUUAAAGUUGCAACCAUAUCUUUCAACUUGCAGGUAUGUAUUAAUUGGUCAGCAUAGGCACUUAAUAAUUGGUCAACAAAAUAAUUAAUUUAUUAAUGUCUAUACAUUGAAUUUGACUCACUUAUUAAUUUAUUAAUACAUGACAUAAUUUACCUUCAUAUCACUUGCAUUAGGGAUAAUUAAGCAAAGACAAUAAUUUUGUACUAUACCUCUAUUAAGUUAUAAUCUCUUUAUAAGAAUAAAUUUCUCUAGUCCCAAUAAUAUGACUAUAUAGAGGUUUUACUAUAUAUAUAUAUAUGCCACCUUGUAGUAUCGUAUGCCAUGUUUUAUAUAUAAACUUUUUCUUAAAAUAAUUAGAAAGGGAAUGAGAAAUCUCACUCAUUAAAUUAAAUGCUAAUCAAUAAGCACCAUCAUUACUUGAACUCGACUAAUCAGAGGUGCAAGCAUUUAAAGUCAGUCGAGCUACCCCAAAAGGGAGCUUUACAUUUUUUUUUUUCACAUAAUAAUCAAAGAUGUCACGGUAAUGGUCCUUUCGAAAUAUCUAAUUUAAUUUUGAUAAAUUAAUUAGUUGAAUUUGUUCAGUUGUUGAAAAAUUGUUUAAUUUUUUAAUACACAAAAUAAUAUCCUUUCAAAAAUUUAAUUAAGGUAUAUAUAGGUAAUCUUCAGAGUUCAACAAAUCACAUCUAUUUUUAAAUUAAAAAAGAGAGAGAAAGAGAAAAAAAACUGAAAAAAGGAUAGGAUGUUGAAGGGGGAGAUAGUAGAUGUAUUUUGAAGUAUUGAGAAUGUUGAGAAUAUGUUUCGAAGUGUUUGUGUUGAGAAUACAUUUAGUAGAUGUAUUUUGAAUUAUUGAGAAUGUUCAGAAUAUGUUUUAUGUGUUUGUGUCGAGAAUACAUGGAUGUAGACGCACAAACGCAAGGGGAGUUUUAAAAUUUGAAAUCAAAUUAAUGAAUAUGAUUUGAAGUGUUUGUGUUGAGAAUACAUUUUGGAUACACACACACACACACACACACAAGGGGAGUUUUAAAAUUUGAAAUUUGUUAAUCCAUUCGAUUUCUAACACAUGCAUACAUUCAGGGAAGUUCUUAUAAAAGUUCAAAAUACAUAACGUGUUUUGUCAUCAUAAAAAAGGAGGAGAUUGUUAACCUCUAUGGUUAUAUAGCAUUUUGAUUUUGAUAAUAAUAAACCACGAGUCAUGGGUAAAAUAGGAAAUACACAUAUUCUUUAUUUUGUUUUAAAACAAAAAAAUGAAUGUUGAGUAUUUUAAGAUGUCCUCAAAAUUGUUUUCUUUGUAUUUUCUAAAGGAAAAAUUUUAUUAUGUGAAUAUUAUUUCAAAUUCUAACUAUAAAGCGAGUUUUCGCAUAAGUUUUUCACAUAAAACUUUUAUUAUGUGCUUAAACGUUAAAUCUUUAUAAUCCAAAUGGUAAGCUCACUAAAGUAAAACUAGCUACUAGACACAAAUUGCAUACGUUACAAGGAAAGUGGCAAACUGAUUGCAUCAAAUUAGCUCUCUAGAAUCAAACGAUAAACUGGUAGAGUUGAAGCAGCAAACCGAUUGCAUCAAAUUAGCUCUUUGGAAUCAAACAAUAAACCAAUAGAGUUGAAGCAGCAAACUGAUUGCAUCAAAUUAGCUCUCUUGAAUCAAAUGGUAAACCGAUAAAGCUGAAGUGACAAACUGAUUCCAUCAAGAUGACUUACUAGACUCAAAGAACAAACUGUUAUCUGCAAGCGGCCAACCAAUUCCAUUAAGAUGACUUACUGGACUCAGACAACAAACUGUUAUUUGCAACCGACAAACAAAAUCCAUCAAGAUGACUCUCUGGAAUCAAGUGGCAAACUACUUUCUUGAAGCAGAAAAUUGUGAAGCAAAAAUUUCAAAUUACAACCAUAAGGAUAAGUGCCAUAUAAGCAAACUAUAGACUGUUUUCUUGAAAGGGCAAAUCGAUUAUGCCUAAAAAGUCAACAACAGCUAAUUUUAUCGUUCAAUCUAUAAAUAGCCAAGAGAAACACUUUUGAAAUAGGAAUUUUUUGGCCAUUUUUUAAAGAGUAUUGAGCUUUUACUUGCUUAUACACAUUCAUUGAAUUUAUAAUUGAGAUAUCAUUUGUAACAUACACUUGUGAGAGUGCAUUCUUUGUAAUUUAUAUUUCACUAUCAAAAUUGAGUGAUUGUAAGUGUGGGGAAACACUUGGUGAAGGAGGUGUGGGAUCAUCUCAAGUUGUAAAUGUUUAUUGACACCCUAAAAGCCAAUUGCAAACUUCCUGAAGCCUUGGAUUGUAAUGCUUGAAUAGUGGAACAAUCAAGUUCGGUUUGCUUGGAGGCAUGGAUAUAAGCGGGUUUUGCCGAACCACGUAAAAAUUUCGUGUUUGCUUUCUUCUCCCAUAUCUCUUUAAACUUAUUCAUUGUUAUAUGUACCGUGAUUGAAUCUCUUAAGGCAUUAGUUUAAAUUAUUUUGUAAUUUAAUUUGUUUAAUUUUUAAAAACCCAAUUCACCCCUCUUGGGUUACUUAGCUAGAAUUUCAGCAUAGCUUGUCAUGUGUCAUACCGUACAAUGAGUUACGAGGUCCAAUUCCUAACAACACAAGAUUCUAGUAUGAUCUGUUAGGAAAUUGGUGGGUGAAGCAGACACGCAGCUAAAGUAAAAUUGGAAGAAAAAUAAAGAACGAACACAAAAACAGGACACCAGAAAUUACGUGGUUCGGCUUUUAGCCUACGUCCACGGGCGAAGACAGAAGGAAAUAUUUUACUAGUGAAAAGGAGUUACAAGUAUUGUAAUACACCCAAACUCUUAAAACACUAAAACAAGAGCUUAUAAUUUCAAGCUCUCUAAACUCUCUCUAAAUACAAGAAAACUCUUCUUAAAAUUGGAUAAGCAAAUGAGGGAAUGAGUCCCUCUAUUUAUAGCCAAAAUCUUGGCUACUAUUCAUGUAUUUUUUUAAUUAUUUAUUAUUGUUCAAAAUUUCAAAAUUCAAAGUUUGAUAUUCAAACUUUGAAUAUCUAGAAUUUUGAAUUUGAUAUUCAAAGUUUGAAUAUCUAGAAGUUUGAUUUUGAUAUUCAAACUUUGAAUAUCAAGACACCCAAUCUUGACAUGAUCAUGGAGGCAUUAUGUGGGAACAAGGAUUGUGAGGUGACGCUUACAGUUUUCAACCUUGCAAAGCCUUUGUAACUCACAAACAUGUCUUCAAAAAGAAAUGGCUUUUAAUAGUGUUUCCUAUGUUAGGAAUACUCGCUCUUUUAUUCUUUAUGAUUGGAAUGAUUUUUAGAAGAAUGAAGAGGGCUUCUAGAGAAAACAAAGAAAGUUCUGAGGGCGAUCAAGGAGUGCUUUCGAUAUUAAUUUUUAAAACGUAAGUGGCGUAUUAAAAAAUCAUCAGUGCAGCGAAUAAAUUUGAUGCUGAGAAAUGCAUUUGGCAACCUAUCAUCUGGGAGAUCGUAGCGAUUGGCAAAUUUCAUCACCACUUCCAAGUGAAAUUUUAGUCCUACAAGAAUUCCUGAAUGAAAUCAAGGCAUUGACAGAAUUAUGGUAUCAAAAUAUUGUGAAAUUUUAUAGCUUCUGUUAACAUCCUGGUACUCUUUUUCAGUCUAUGAAUAUCUUGAAAAGGGUAGUUUGGCUACAAUUCCAAGCAAUGAUGCAACAAUAGAAGAAUUCAUGAGCUGGACUCUGAGAAUGUAUAUGAUAUAAACUGUAGCUAAGGCCAUGAGUUAUAUACAUCAUGAUUACUUCCCACCAAUUGACAAUCGAGACUUAUCAAGCAAGAAUGUGUUGCUGGGUUUAGAUUAUGAAGCUCAUGUUUCAGAUUCCGGAAUCGGAAAAUUUCUCAAGCCAGACUUGUCCUAUUGGACUGAUUUUGCAGGCGCAUUUGGAUAUGUUGCUCCACAUAUGCAUUCUUAAAUUAACCCAUUGAUCACUUUUUACAUUAAUAAACGUCAUAUCUAACUGAUCAUUUUCAUCUUUCAGUUUUUGUAGAGCUUGUUUACACGAUGAAGAUUAUCGAAAAAUGCAACGGGUAUAGCUUUCCGAGAAUUAGCAUUAGAAGUGAUAAAGGGGAAUUAUCCAAGAGAUUUUAUGUCCUUCCAUCGGGGACAUAUCGCUGAAUGAAAUUUCGGACACUCGGCUUUCAACAUCAUCAUGAAAUGUUCAAGACACGCUGAUAUCAAUCAUGGAGGUUGUCUUAUUCGAUGUGGGCCCAGAAUCAAGACCCACGAUGUACACAAUGUGUCGUUUGAAAAAAAAAAAAGAACUCCAGAAAGUCAAAUGUUUCUUUUUUCUUUUGUAUUUUUUUUUCAUUUUUCGUUUUUGUUGGAUUAAAUAUGACUUUUGAAACUUUUGAUGGUUGUAAAAGAUUUUACACUUUAAUUAAGUACGUGAAUUACACAUUUCAAGCAUUAUUUGACUUUACCCCCAAUCUCUGCCGUAAUGUCAUUUGGCUUUUCUGUCCCUUACUUUGGAUAUGCAUAUUCUGUCAAAGGACAAAAAACUGAAAUAGGAAAAUAGAAGUUGUCAUAAAGUAAAUUAAUAUAUUCGAUAACAUUAUGAACAUCUACGCGCGAAAGCGAUGGCGAUACUUUCAACACAUUGUAGGAAGUGCCUCUAAGUAAGCCCAAUGGGCGUAGUUUUACAGAUAACCGAAAAACCUUAGUUCAAAGUAUAAUGAUCGGCUUCCUAUGAUUUUUUUUCUGUUUUUAAUGGCUACCUAUCACAAAUUUAGUAACUUCAGCAAAAUUCUAUUGCUUAUAUCUUUUUACUUUAAUAUUAUAAUCACGAUCGGCUUCUUAUCCCUUCUUUUUUUUCAACUCAAAUAAUUUUCACAACUUCAAGUCUUCAAGCAACUAUUUGGAAGAACAAAUCCAGAGGCCGAUCCAUCAGCGUUGGUACAGGAAGCUUCAGCUGGUUGAUUCUUGUAAAUGAGCUUCACAUCCUCCAAGCUAAUUCCAGUGCAUGGAUUGUUCGAACUGCAAUCGAGCUUUACUCCAACUUCCGUUGCCGAUGUUCCAUGAAUAUCUUGAUAUAUCACAUCACUGAUUUUAAUCCCCGAAGCCUAUUGAAAAAGAAUAAAAUAACAUUUAUUGAGUUGAAUUUUAAUCUCAUCAACAUUUACGUAAUUACAUCGACAGACUUGUGAUAAAUAAAUAUCGUACCUGUCCAGGGCAAUUCUCGUUGUCAGGGCAGUAAUUUUGAUCAAUUAUGAUAGGAUUAUCGACAUUGUUCAUAAGAGCAUGAUGGAAAAGAAUGUUCCUGGCAAAUCCACUGCUUGUUCUCCCCCAUGACUUAAUCCUCACUCCAUUUUGAGUGCCUGUAAAUGUCACAGAUGUUACUGUCACAUUUUGCACUCCAGCCUCUUGUUGCUCUUUGCCUAAGCUGCCAAUGCUGCAACAAAAUCACAAUAUUCAAUUUAAUUAGCACUAAAUAUUUAUACGUACCACCAAAAAUAAAGAGAAAAACAAAUUAUCAUGUUUUUUAAUUUUACCUGAUCCCAUGGCCAGGGCCACAAGCAACAUUUUCAAUCCAUAAGUUGGUGGCGCCAGGCCCAACUGAUACACAGUCAUCACCAGUCCCAAUUUUGCUGUCCAAAAUUGAAACACCACUUGAUGAUUGAACGUGAAUGCCAUCGGUGUUUGGGCUGUCACCGGCGGCCGAAACUUUGACCCCCUGUACUUUCACAUCGUUGCAUCCAUUGAUGACAAUAUGAAACAUCUGGCUAUCUACGGAUGCUAAUCCGUUAAUCACAACGUUGUUUGAGUUGCUAAAGCGAAGUGUCUGCUCAUGUAUGUACAAAAGAGGGAACAUUAAUUAUUAUAACUAAAGCAGGAAGCCAAACAAUAUGGACAGCAAAAAGCCACUAAAUUUACGACUAUACAGAUAUAUAAAGGAUAUUUCAACUUAAUUACCGUAGCGCCACUGGGGCAAUUACUAUUGUCCGACUUUUUACAAGCCCACAAGCCAGCACCUUGGCCAUCAAGAACGCCACCAUUAAUAGAAACCCCGCUAACAUGCUCAAAUAAAAUCCAGUUUUCGGCAUUUCCGAUAACAUGAUAAUCAGCUGGAGCCACCAGAGUCCCGUCAAUACGUAUGGUAAUAUCAUUGUUCUUGCAUUGGCCUUGAAACACAACAUUGCUUAGUGAGUACCUCCCCGGUGGCACGUAAAUGGUUGCAGCCUCGGCCGAGCCACAGGCUUGAGCCCAUGCAGCAAGAAAGGAUUUUACUGAGUCAGUCUGGCCAUCGGGUCUGGCUCCGAAGCUCAGCACGUUGUACAAAGGAAUUGCUAAAGAUGAACUAAAGAAGAGAAUAAAAAGAAAUGGUAAAAAUUUAAUAGGCAAAGACAUUGAUUUUGACACUGUUUCAAAGUUUUACUUUACUGAUGGAUAUGAGAGAAAUAAAUUUGCGACGUUGAGGAGUUGGGGUGGAAUUGAGAAGAUUUAAAUGGGUAUUUAUAGGAUUUGAAUGGAUAAGCCUCAGUAUCUAACUUCUAAUCUUACAGGUCAUUGAUUAAAUCGAACGGUUCAUGCUUAUGCAACUAUUAAUAUUGUAAUUUUUAUAGCAGCAUCAUAGAAUGACCCUUGUAUUAUAAUUUUUUUUUCUGAAAGUAAUUAAAUUAUUGUUUGGCCCACAAUUUGAGCAAGUGCCUAAUAAGAAUAUGGAAAUUUCCCGAAUUUCUGAAUGGCCAUUUCUUCAAAAUACAGAUUGUUGUUUUGGUGUCGGAAGGCUAAAUUCAUAAAUAAAGUUUCCCUUGUUUCACGGCUUCCUUGUUUCCGGAAAUUUUUGUUUUUCACGUGACGUUAAUUUGUUGAUCUUACUUUCGCUUAAGAGAAUAAAUUAGGCACACAAUAAAUGUCAGUAUUCAAAUUUCAGCUCUAGUUAUAUCUGGAAAAUGAAUCCAGAGCACAGUUCCAUCAACAUCAACUAUUGAUUUUAAGAAAAAAAUUAAGAAAGCCACGUGAAAAAAAAAAAGAAAAAGAAAAUUUCGUUGAAAGUUGAUAAAAUGUUCGUUAUCAUAGUACGUCUCUUUAUCUAGAUGUUAUUUUUGUAAUUAACAUAAAAAUUUUUUUUCUCAUUUUAUCAAAAUUAUUCAAGUGGGAAGCAGUUUCAGUCCACCGUGUGCAUUUUCGUUAAUGAAAUUAUUUUCUUCUUAUUUCUUAUAACUAGCCGCAAUUUUGCUAGUUUCGAAAGGGAUGUUUUGACAUAAAGUUCAACUUUUUUCCUUUUCUUUUUAGUGGUUACAAUUUUUGUGCACAUUACUGAUUGACUUGUUUCAAUUACUCAGAUUAAGCAAACAAUCAAGCCACAUUACUAGGUUAUCAAGAAAGAGCAGUUACCAGUUAGGUCCCUCAGGUCAAAGACGUGACUUAUUUUAGUCAAUUGCUUUAUGUUAAUCAAAAUUUGGCAGAAGUUAAUUAACCGACUACAAGUUCACCACAUGCGGAUUUCAACCGCCCAACUGAAAAAAGGUUUAUGAGUGUUGACCAAAUGAUUUUUUUAUACAUUACUAGUUGUUUAAGGGAUUUACUUUCACACAGUACCAUUAAUUGUUGGAGUUAGCUAAUCUAACGGUAACUUCUAUUGGUGGUAUCGCCUCAAAUUUUGUUUUAUAAUUAAUUUUAAAUGUAUGUGAAGAGCUUGACUGCCAAUUUCUUUAUUUAUUUUUCAGAUAAAAAAUUGUUUUACAAAACAAAAAAAGAAUAUGUUAUUAAGGAAGCUCACAUCAGUAGCAUAGACUGUAAAGCAGAGGAUAGCAGCAGCUCCAGCUUACGGUUGAGAGUUUAUGACAUGGCAUGCCAGCUGGCACCUGGUGGUUAUGUAAUCACUUGUACACGUGAUAAUCAGCUGAAGUUGUUAUAGUUAGUUAGAAUUAGCAGUAGUUUGUAACAGUCAAAAUGAUGUUGAUAUCUGCCACCUGGAAUAUCAUAUCAUACCAUUUUUUUUAUAUUUUUUUUCAGAAAAAUAAAAAUCUAUAAGGGAAUUAGAAAUCUCACCCACGAAACUCCAACCAUCACCCACUAUUAUUACUAGUACUCGACUAACCUAAUGCAUGUGGAAUAUAAAAUUUAGUUUAGAUGAAUUAAAUUACGUUGGAUUUCUUUAGGUGUUGAAAACUUGUUUAAUUUUUUUCUGUACAUACAAUAAUAUCCUUUCGAAAAUUUAAUUAAGAGUAAUUGCCAGAAUUCAACAAAUCACAUCUAUCUUUAAUUUUUUUUUUUUAAAAAGAGAAAAAUAAACUAAAAAAAAGAAAGAAAAGAAAAUGCCCGUAACAAGCCCCAAAACAUGGAAUGUAGCAGUCGCAAACCAAAAAGCUCAAUACACAUUUGUCUGCGCAUGUGAGUGUUCAAGACAUGAAUUAAUGGACUCUUGAAGUAAUUUAUAUUUACUGUCUCUGCUGUUAAUCUAAAACCAAAAACUAAAUAUUGCCAUGAAUUUAGGGUUUAAAUAAUUAUUGCUGUUUUUAAAGAAUAUGAAGGAAUCAAUAUUUAUAUAACCUACAGAGCAUGUGAGCUUAGCAAAAAUGGAGGAACGGUGCGAUAUGAAACGAUUUUUUCAUUAAAACAUCAUGCAAUGCUUUAAAUGGAGAUGCAUGUUUGAAAUAAAAAAUAAAAACAACAUAAAGAAGGAGGGUUGACUGUAUGGGGAUUUGUGCUUAUAAUUUAGGCUCACAUAGCUUCCUUUGACUGAAGAACAUACGUGCAAGCAAACUCACAAAUGGCAUUGUGCCACUUAGAAGUAAGAGAAGCACAUCAAUCAUUGAACUUCUUUUUUUUUUUUUCUGAAUCAAUUGUUUUAAGGAAGCACAUCUCAGCUGCUUAGUCAAAGAUCAGUCAAUACAAAGAGUGGCCAAUGAAGCCAAGUGAGCAGAGUGAUUAAGAGUGUGCCAGAUCAUUGACAGCUCAGCUUAUUAGUUACACAUAUCUAUUGUGCUCUAUAUCUUUCAUUUUUGUUAUUUUAUGUUUUUAGUGUUAGCAGUUAGUUACAGUUUAUAGUUAAGCUCACGAGCUUGAUAUAAAUACUUUGUUUUACUAUUUUUGAUAUUAAGUGAAAUAAACAAUAAACAUUCAUUUCCAGAAUAUUCUUUUCCUCUGUAAACUUUUUUUCUUCCAAACACAAUAUGAUUUUCCUUUAUGGUAUCAGAGCCAGAUCAAUAUGGCUAGCUCCAGCAAUCCAAUUGUAAACACAAACACUAAUUCAAUAAGCUCAACAAAUUUUUCAUUCAUCACUCAUGUGAAGUUAGAUCGAAUCAAUUACUUAAUUUGGUGAUCUCAAGUAUUAGCUUCCAUAAGAGGCAACAGACUUGAAGGUUUUAUUAAUGGAACAAAAUUUGAACCAGAGCAGUGCAUUACUCGCAGAACAGCUGAGGGAUCUGCUGAUUGAGAAUCCAGAGUUUAUCACCUGGAAAUCACAAGAUCAAACACUUCUUGGCUGGCUCUUAUCUUCAAUAAGUGAAGGUACACUUGGCCUUGUUAUUAAUCUUGAUAGUUCAUAUACUGUAUGGAAAACACUUGAGAAGAAAUUUGCAGUACAAUAUGAAGCUAAGGUACUUCAAAUCAAGUAUGAAAUAAACACUUUAAAGAAAGAAUCAAUGAAUGUUGAAGAUUAUUGCAUGAAAAUGAAAGCAUUAGCUGAUAAGCUUGCUUGUGCUGGGAGUCCUUUGAAUGAUAGAGAAUUGUUGCUGCACAUUCUAAAUGGUCUUGGACCAGGCAAUCUAGAUUUAGCUUCUUUUAUCACUGCUUGUAGAAUGGAUUUUGAUGAUGCAUAUGCAUUGUUGGUCACUCAUAAACCUAGGCUUGAGCAACAAGAGCAAGAUGCUAAAACUGUUUUCAAUGCUAAUUUUGCACAAGGCAUGUUCAAUGGUAAUUUUGCACAAACAAGGGGAAACUAUAGAAGAGGUGGUUAUACAUGAGGUUUUCAAGGCAAUUAUCAUGGUGGAAGAGGAUCAGGCACUGGUAGAAGUUUUCCUUUAAGAAAUUUUUUUGGAUUUAAUGGUUUCAAUGGAGGAUACUCUGGCUUUGGUGGUUAUGGUAGCGGUCAAAACAUGCAUCAGAUGAAAGGAAAAGUCUUCAAUGGCAUGUCUCCUACUAUGCCAUCUAAUUUUUCUGGAAAUUCACAUCAAAAUGCUGCUAGCAUUUCUUAUGAAGUUAUAAUCUGUCAAAUCUGUUCUAAAUCUGGACAUAGUGCUGAUGUUUGCUGGUAUAGAUUCAAUGAGGAUUUUAUUCCAGCUCCAUCUAGAGUUUACAAUAAAGGAAAAACUCCAAAGUUUGCUUAUAUGACUAAUUUUGAACCAGUUAAUUACAUGCCAUCUUAUAUGCCUAGUUUUGAUGAAUAUUCUGCUGGAAUGUCUCCUGUAUGCAUGCCUGGUUUUCAUACUCCAUAUUCCCCUGGAACUGCUUAUAUGGCCAAUUUUGAAGGGCCUGCUGAUGAAAGUUGGUAUUUCGAUAGUGGAGCUACACAUCAUCUACCAAACAACAUGACCAAUAUACAUAUCAGAGAGGAAUUCAAAGGUAAUGAUCAACUCAUCAUAGGAAAUGGUCAAGGCCUAACUAUCACUCAUGUUGGUAAUGCUUCUCUUCGUUUGUCUGGUUCUAAAACUACUUGCAUUCUGCUAAAGGAUAUACUGCUUGUACCUUCUAUAACUAAAAAUCUUUUAAGCAUAUCUAAACUAACCUCAGAUAAUAACAUUUCUAUUGAAUUUUGUGUUAAUGUUUGUUUUGUGAAGGACAAAAUGAAAGGACAAGUUCUUCUGCAGGGACUUUCUGAGAAAGGACUGUACAAGCUGCAACUUAAACCCAGUUCACCCAAUACUCAAUCUCAUGAGUCACAUAUGUCAGUUGUUCAUUUAAAUAAGCCUUUGUCUAUGUUGUCUUUUGUCAAUAGAAACAAUCAGACCUCAAAUAAAUGUGAUUCUUUUGCUAAGGCUUGUUUCAAUUUUGUUUCAUCAAAUUGUACUCAAGCAGUUGAUCAAUUAACCUUGUUACAUAGAAAGUUUGGUCAUCCAAAUUUGAAUGUUCUAAUACACUUGCUGAAGUUUUAUAAUUGUGCUAAAGUCUCUCUGCAGUCACUCAAAAAUUCUAGUCAUAAUGUGUGUGAAGCCUGUCAAUUGGGAAAAUCUCAUAGGCUACAUUUUGCAACUACAGAUACCACAACUACUCAUGUUUUGGAGCUUAUACACACAGACCUUUGGGGGCCUUCACCAUUUCUGUCUAGGAAUGGAUAUAAGUACUAUAUUAGCUUUGUUGAUGAUUAUAGCAGAUAUACAUGGAUUUAUCCCCUCAAGCUUAAGUAAGAAGCUUUAGCAGUUUUAAGUUGUUCAAACUUCAGGUUGAAAAUCAGUUCAGCACAUCUAUCAAGAUGUUGUAAUCUGAUUGGGGGGGGGGGAGAAUAUAGAGUGUUUACAGAUUUUCUAAAUCAAAAUGGUAUUAUUUUUAGACACUCAUAUCCUUAUACACAUCAUUAAAAUAGAUUAGUGGAAAGAAAACAUAGACAUAUAGUUGAACUUGGUUUAACUCUGCUAGCUCAAGCAAAUUUAUCUUUUCAAUACUGGUGGGAUGCCUUUCAUACUGCAGUAUUUCACAUCAAUAGGUUACCCACUCUAGUGCUCAAGAAUCAAACACCAUACGAGAAUUUGUUUAAACAUAAAGCAGAUUAUAGUUUUCUUAAGUGUUUCGGCUAUUUAUGUUAUCCAUUCUUGAAAGACUAUAAUAAGCACAAGUUUGAUUUUCAUUCCAACAAGUGUAUAUUCAUUGGGUAUAGUCCAUCACACAAGGGUUAUAAAUGUCUUCAUCCUUCAGGUCGAGUGUAUAUUGUCAGACAUAUCACAUUUGAUGAAACUUGUUUUCCUUCAACUCUCCUUGAUGAUAAAACCAAUAUUUCACCUUGUGUCACUGAGUCUGUCAAAUCACUUAACCAACAAUAAGUUUUUCACUUGUCUACCUUGCCAUAUAUUCCUGAUAGCAGAUUUGAAGAACCUUUCUCAGCAGGAACCAGCAGUAACAGAACUCAAUCUUUAUCAAGUUCUAAUCAUACAAUUACUGCUCAACAAAAUCAACAAUAUGAUUUACUUGGAUCUCGAGAUUACACACAAACACUAAUUACAAACAAUUCACCUGUAUCAGCUAAAAUUUUUCAACCAGAACCUCAAAAUCCAAUUUUAUCACAUGACAUAUCAACCAACACAUCUUCACAGAACCAGAAAACUAUUCAUCAACCAACACACAAAAUGAUCACUAGAGCUAAAUCAGGCAUAAUCAAACCAAAGGUGUAUUGUGCUACUCUAUCAAAUAGGGAACCAGAUACAGUUGAAGAAGCAUUAGAAGAUCCAAGGUGGUAUCAGGCAAUGAAAGAUGAGUAUGAUGCAUUAAUGAAGAACAAUACUUGGAUUCUAGUACCUAAAUUCUCUGACCAUAAAGUUGUUGACAAUAAAUGGAUAUUUAGAGUCAAGUAUAAUACUGAUGGUAGUGUUGCUAAGUUUAAAGCCAGACUUGUUCCAAAGGGAUUUCAACAAGUAGCAGGAGUUGAUUACUUUGAGACUUUCAGUCCAGUAAUUAAACCAGCUACAGUUUGAGUGGUGUUAAGCUUGGCUGCAAUGAACAACUGGAAAAUAAGGCAAGUAGAUAUUAAUAAUGCAUUCUUGAAUGGUGAUUUGAUUAAGGAUGUCUUUAUGAUGCAACCUAAGGGUUUUAUCAAUGUUUAUAAACCUGGUCAUAUUUGCAAAUUGAACCAGGCACUUUAUGGACUAAAGUAGGCUCCUAGAGCAUGGUUUGAUAAGCUCAAGGAAACUUUGAUUAAGUGGGGAUUUCAGAACUCAAGGGCAGAUACAUCACUGUUCUUGAAGAAAGAAAAAGGAUCUAUGAUUAUGGUACUAAUCUAUGUGGAUGAUAUAUUAAUUACAGGUCCUAACAGCAAAGCUCUUGAAGAUUUUAUUUCUCAUUUCAGUUUAGUUUUUGCCUUAAAAGAUCUAGGGAUUUGUCUUAUUUCCUGGGGAUUGAAGUCUCUUACUACAAUGGAAGUAUUUUCUUGUCUCAAAGGAAAUAUAUUAGAGACUUGUUGGCAGAACCAGAGCUUUUAAACUGUAAAGGUUGUGACACACCAAUGACUACAAGAACAAAGCUUCAGAAACAAGCUUAUGUUUCACUUGGUCAAUUCAUUGAAGAUCCUAUAGCAUAUAGAAGUUUGGUUGGAGGCUUACAAUAUGUAAUACUUACAAGGCCUGAGAUAGCUUUUGCAGUACAUAAGCUUAGUCAAUAUGUUGCUAUGCUAACUUUACAGCAUCUAAUGGCGUGCAAGAGAGUGUUAAGAUACUUAAAGGAAACUCAGGAUUAUGGACUGAAAUUUGGAACUGAAGGAGAGCUGAGACUGACUGGAUACACAGAUACAGAUUGGGCUUGUGACAUUGAUGACAGGAAUUUAGUUGGUGCAUAUUGCAUAUACUUGGAAAAUAAUCUAACUCAUGGUCUUCUAAGAAACAAUCAGUUAUGACAAGAUCUAGUGCUGAAAGUGAAUAUAGAUCUCUUGCUUCAGCUUGUGCAGAAAUUACUUGGCUUCAAUCAUUAUUCAGUGAAAUGAAUCUGUAGUGCACUUCAACUCCAGUGAUAUGGUGUGAUAAUAAAAGUGCCACUGAGCUUGCAAAGAACCCAGUUUAUCAUUCAAGAACCAAACAUAUUGAAUUGGAUAUGCACUUCAUUAGAGACAAAAUUGUUGCCAAAGAAUUGCAGAUCAAUUAUAUACCCAGUGAAGAACAAAUUGCAGAUGCUUUAACCAAACCCUUAACCUUCAAUCAUUUUAAUUUUUUCAGAAGCAAACGCAAUGUGCAACCUUGCCCAUUGAGUUUGAGGGGGGCUAUUAAGGAAGCACAUCUCAGCUGCUUAGUCAAAGAUCAGUUAAUGCAAAGAGUGACCAAUGAAGCCAAGUCAGCAGAGUGAUUGAGAGUGUGCCAGAUCAUUGACAGCUCAGCUUAUUAGUUACACAUGUCUAUUGUGCUCUGUAUCUUUCAUUUUUGUUAUUUUUUGUUUUAAGUGUUAGCAGUUAGUUACAGUUUAUAGUUAAGCUCACGAGCUUGAUAUAAAUACUUUGUUUUACUAUUUUUGAUAUUAAGUGAAAUAAACAAUAAACAUUCAUUUCCUGAAUAUUAUUUUCCUCUGUAAAUUUGUUUUCUUCCAAACACAAUACGAUUUUCCUUUAAAUUGUGACGGUGGCUUAGUUUGGCUGCGUUUAUUAUAUCAGGAUAGGGGCCAAAUCCUUUUGCUUGUUUCUAAUUUUCGAUGUAUAAAGUGUCGCCUUUACCUUUCCCAAGAUACAUAGUUCUACUUUUGGGUCGAUCAGGACCUUUUUCUUUUCUCAUUCCUAAUUUUUAAGCACUUUAACCCUAGCUCACUUUAUGCACAUGUGGAAAUUAACCUCUUUGAAAUUGUGGGUGAGAGAGAUGAUCAUUUUAUUUUUCGAAAUUAAAAUUUUGAUUCGACAAAGGUUAUAAAGGAGAAAUAACAAACUUAAAGAGACUGUAACAAAAAAUGCAAAGUGAUACAAACUCUUAAAAUAAUUUAAAUUAUUUAAUUUAUUUAUUCAAUUUUAUGGUAUUAGUUAAUUUUGAACUAAUCAAAAGUAGUUACACUUAUUUUGUGGAACUACAUGUAAGUAGUGGAGCAUUAUGUGAGAACAUCUUAGUGUUACUAAUUUUUAAGUUGUAAUCUUAAAUAAGCUUUAUUCUACAAAGUUUGAUAUUAUUCAACAAAAAGCAUCAUGAGUUUAUUAUUUUGGCAACAUAAAAGUUGUAAUUGAGAGUUUAUUGGUUACUCGAAUAACCAAUACUUAUUUGGAGGCUUGGGUUUCCUCGAAUUAACCCCAUUUCGUUGGUAAAUUUGGUGGGUGAAGCAGACACACAACUAAAGUGAAAUUGAGAAAUAAUGAUCACAUAGGGACACCAAAAUUUAUGUGGUUUGACUUUUAGCCUACGUUCACGGGCGAAGAUAGAAGGAAAAUUACAAGUAUUGUAAUGUUUUGUCUCACAACCCAGAACACAAUUACACCCAAACUCUCAAAAACACUAGAACUAGAGCUCAAAGAUCUCAACACUCUUAAUUUACACCUCUUAGCACUCUCACUUGAAUUGGAGAAAAUGGGAUGAAUGAAGAGGACAAAUGAAGCUGCUAAUUAUAGGUCAGGAAAUGCCCAAAAAUCAACAAUGGCGGGCACUAAAGUAAUAUAAAUUUCUCUCAAAUUUCCACUUUGGUGCUGAAGUCAAAGGUUGCAUGUGAAAUAUAAGUGUGCAACCCAAGAGGGGGGUGAAUUGGUAUUUUAAAAAUUAUCCUAGCAAAUCCACACAACAAACAAUCUAACUUCUUAAUAAAAUUGAAAACAAUAAGUUCAAUAAAAGCACAAUAACAAAUGAGUAAGAGAGAAGAGAAAGAAACACACGAAUUUUUACAUGGUUCGGCAAUCCCCGCUUACGUCCACGCCUCCAAGCGAUCCAAGCUUGAGGAUUUCACUAUCCGAGCCUUUCCAAGGAUUCAACCGUUUACAAUUGACUUCAAGGUGUCAAUGGACCUUUACAACAAAGAGAUUAUCUCCCAAUCUCUUCACUCAAGUGUCUCACACACUCAAACACUUACAAUUAAGAUGAAGAAAUGAAAGUUACAACAAAACUCACUCAAAGAGUAGAUAUUCAAAAAUGAAGAUUAAGAGAUGAUUCAAUGUGUUUUGUGAUUUGCAAAUUGAAAGCUCAAGAUAUCUCGUGUGCUUUUUGAUUAUGCUUGCUGGAGAGAUUGAAAAUGAAUUGGAUUUGAGUUUAUAUAGUUUGAGCUCAAAAACUAGCCGUUAUGCACAUUUUGGUCGUAACCGGCUUACCGUUUAUAGAAUCCGGUUAGCCGCUUUUAUGUUACCGUUAAGGCAAAAAUUUAAAUUUCGGAAUAUCCGGUAUGCCGCUUUUCAUAUCUGGUUAGCCGCUUGCAACAGUGAAAUAUUUUCUAAAUUUAUAAUUUGACCCCAAAACUUUAUAAAAACUGUAUUAUAGCCCAAAACGUUAUGAAAACUUUUAAAUAGGUCCGAUUUCAUAAUUUCUAAAUAAUGCUUUGUCAAUCCCAAAACUUUCUGAAAUUAUGAUUUCACCCAAACUAGGUGAAAUUAUAGAAUGACCCAAAAUAUUUAAAUAGUUUCAAAUAAGUCCAAAUCUGAAAUUUUAAAACAAUUUCAAAGAUUUUAAAAUACUUUCAUUUUAGUCCAAAACACUUUAAUUCUAUAACAUCAUUUUCUUAUUAUAAAAGCACAAUUCAUAAAUCUUUGUUUAAUCAAUACAUGUGGUUUGUUAUCAUCAAAAUCAAUAUCUAUAGCCAUAUAGGCUAACAGCAUGCCUCCUACUCACUCAACAAAUUUAUGCCAAGAGUCAAAAGUUGCAUGCUAGUCACAUGCAAUUGUUUGCCACAUGCAUGCACAUGUUCAACACAUUUGUCGUCUAAUUUUUCUAUUUCAUUUGAUUUCUCCUUAUAAACAUUAGUGUUCGUAUCAUUUGGUAUUAGAGAUUGGUAAUAAAAAAGGAGUAAAUCCUUACAGUGGAGCAGAGAAUUGAGAGCAUUCAGAAGAUGAUGGAGGGUAUAAUUCUUAAGUAGAAGGAACUUACCAAGAAAUUAUUGUGCAAAAUGGAUGAAAUUUCAAGAACAUGGGAUGCAAGGUUGAACUCAGGUAGCCCUCAUAUCAAACUUGUGAAAGAAAAUUCUACGUCUUUGGUUGAAGUUCAACGUCUCCAACAAAGUGACAAUUUGGCAACUGCAACGCAUGAUGAAGGUGUUAAACAAUGCAGCAAAGUAGUGGUGGCAUCAUCGAAGAAAAUUCCACAAAUCAACAUUCAAAAGGUUUGAGUUUUCUCUUACAAGUCAAAGGUGCAGAGUGUUUAUUUUAAGGACAAAGCCAAAUUGCCUAGCCACCAUGAUGAGAAAUUAUUCAUCCGUAAAGUGCCAAAAAUUGAGAUGAAGAACAUGGUUGGAUCAAUGGUGAAUUUUCAAAAGAGCUUCAAGGCAUCAUUAUAUCUAAUUAUGAAUUGGAAACGGAAGAGAAAGCAAAUUAUUUCAAAAAAAUCUACCCUUGAGGACAACAGUAUUUUCAAGGGGGAAGGAAUGAUACAAACUCUUAAAAUAAUUAAAAUUAUUUAUUUUACUUAUUUAAUUUUAUGGUAUUAGUUAAUUUUGAACUAGUCAAAAGUAGUUGCACUUAUUUUGUGGAACUACAUGAAAGUAGUGGAGCAUUAUGUGAGAAAAUUACCUAUUAAUAAACCAUAGGUAAUUUUCUAUUUGUAGGUAAUAUAUAUGCUUGUGGAUAGAAUUUUAUUUUAAUUAAAUGUAAAUAUUGUCUUAAUCACUAACAAAUAAAAAUAUUAAACAUGCAAAUAUACAUAUUAAUUUAGAUUUAUGCAUAAUAAAUAUUGAAAUAUUAUUUAACCUUCACCAACACAUAUUAACAGUGAUCUCUUUUUAUUAUUUAUAAUUGGAACAAUACAAUUUUAAUUUCUUGGCAUUAUAUUUAUUAAUCUACUAAAUUUUUGGUGAGAAAGAAAGAAAGAAUAUUAUUAAAAAUAAUUUUCAAUUAUGUUAGUAUUAAACAAUAGUUUAAAAAAUAUAUAAUUUUAGAUAGAUUGUAACUUUUUUUAAAUCUUUAAAUAGAUUGGUCUGAUAGCCUGUUAAUUUUAAAUUAUUAAAAUUAAAAUAUUGCACUAACUGGCUUCUAAUUUUAUAAGCCAUUGAUUAAAUCCAACAGUUCAUAUUUAUGCGACUAUUAAUACUUAACAGCAUCAUAGCAUGACCCUUGUAUUGUAAUUCUUUUUCUUUUUUCUGAAAGUAACUGAAUUAUUGUUUGACCCACAAUUUUAGAAAAUGCCUAAUAAGAAUAUUGAAAUUCCUGAAUUCUUAAUGGCCAUAUCUUCAAAACACAGAUAGUUGUUUUGGGUCGGAAGGCUAAAUUCAUAAAUAAAGUUUCCCUUGUUUCCGAAAAUUUCAAAGUUCAGCUCUAGUUACAUAUGGAAAAUGAAUCCGGAGCGCAGUUCCAUCAACAUCAACUAUUGAUUUUUUAAGAAAAAAAAAUUGAAAAGCCAUGUGAAAAAAUGAAAAUUUCAAUGAAAGUGGAUAAAAUGCGUUAUGUAGCAAGAUACAUCAGUGCUGACGAUUUUUUGCUUUUACUAAAUUGAUGGAAAUAUCAUAAAGUUUCAAAGAAAACAAAUAUGUUUUCUCAUUUUAUCAAGAUUAUUCAGAUGGGAAGAAGUUUCCUAGCCGCAAUUUUCCUACUUUCGAAAUGGAUGUUUGAGAUGAGUUCAACCCCCUUUCUUUUUUUUUUUUUUAUUACAAUUUUUAUGCAUAUUACUGUUUUACUUGUUUCAAUUACUCAGAUUAAGCAAACAAUCAAGCCACAUUACUAGGUUAUCAAGAAAGAGCAGUUACCAGUUAGGUCCCUCAGGUCAAAGCCAUGACUUAUUUUAGUCAAUUGCUUUAUAUUAAUCAAAAUUUGGCAGAAGUUAAUUAACCGACUACAGAAAGGUUGAGGGGCUACAUGAAAUUUUACAAAAAAAAAAUUAGGUUUUAAAAAACGUGGCUUUAGAAGAGUAAGUGGGGGCGGCUGAUACAAAGAAAAAAAGCACAAAAAGACGAGAGAAGAAAAGGAAGAACAGUGGCUAACUAUUAUAAUUUGGGGGUAAAAUUUUUAAUCUUUGAUUAGAUAAUCAUAAGGUUAAAUUAACUUCGUUUUCUCCCAAAUUUUGAUGGUAAGUUUCUGGCAUCACCCUCUAUAAUUCUACUGGUCUUGAUUUUUAUUCUAUUUUCUCGUUGACUAUUAUUUGAGAUAACCACUUGUUAGAGAGAUAGAUAUUAGGAUGUUACUGUAAGCUAGGAAUAUUGAGAUUUUUUAUAUUGUUAGCCUCUAGUAUUAUCUAGAAAAGAAUUUGUAUUGUAAUCCCAUUAAUAUAGUGGAAGCCUAUAUCAGAUUACGGUCUCAUGGUUUUUCUCACUUUAGGUUUUUCACGUAAAAAUUUGUAUCUCUUGUGGUUGAUUUAUUACUCUGGAUUUUGUUGGUUUAUUUUUCUGCCUAUUUAUUUGUGAUACACAUCCUAUUUUAAUCACAUAAAGAGGGAAAUAGUUUUAUUUCCGCUUAAUUUGCAACUGCUUGUGUGUACUGUUAGAUCAUGGAUUGAUCAGAGUGUGUACCAUCAUGUCGUGAAGGAAUCCACGGUUGAUGUUCUUUGGAGAAAAUUAAAGAUAAUUUAUGAGCAGCCGACAACACAUAACAAAGCCAAUUUGAUGAAAAGGUUUGUUAAUUUGAAACACAAGAAGGGGUGUAGUAUAACUGAACACACUGAUGAGUUUUAGGGCUUGGUUAUCAGUUGACUGCUGUUGUGCAAAUUUUAUUGAACUCGCAAGUGCACGAAUCUAUUGUAGUAUAAAUCAAUGGUGACGAGUGUCAAUCCCACGAGGAUGUGGAUUUUAAUUAUAUGUAGAAUUAAUUUUGUAUGAAGGUGGUUGGAUUUGUGGUGAAAAUGAUUUGGAUUAUCCUAAAAUUGGAAUUUAAAUGGCGAGAAUAAAUUGAAUAGAAAUCUAUUAAAAUGACAUACUUGGGUAUCUGGAUCCGUAUCAACAUGCAUCAUGAGCUAAAUAUUCCUUAUUAAUACCAAUUAAAUCAUGAGGGGGGAAUCUACACCUCAUGAACCACACUCUAAUCAAUAUGGUGCUAAUGGCUUAUCAUGCCAAAUAAUAAUAACCUUGUACUAGGGGGCCGGUGAAACCAAGACGGUACUAGACAAGAUUAGUAUUAUUUGUCGACGAGAAGUCAAAACAUCCACAAAAAUUAGAGGGGAAGAGAAAAUAAAUUUACCAAAUAAAGCCCAUGACACAUGUUGAGACUUCACAUUCAACCCAAGCUUGAAAGAAAAUUAGCUACUCAUAAUUAAACUAGGGGUAAAAUGGGAAUUUAUUAAAAUACGUAGAAAAUACAAGAUGGAGAGAGAAUUACAGAAAAUAGAGUCCAAAAAUGGAUUCAGAGAUAUCAAAUUAGGGGGGAAGGCCCCCUUUUUAUAGAUACAUUGAGUAAAUCGUGGCCAUCGGAUUAAAAACAAUUUGGACACUCAGGAUUGCGCCACGUCAUCAGUCAACAGUACGUAAGAAUUUUAGUCCAACAGGAUCGUGACACCUCAUCAGUCAAUGCCACAUCAUCGAUCAAUGCCACGUCAUCGAUCCGUCUAUGUGAACAGUGUCGUAAACAGUAACGUAGACAGUUCCGUACACGUGAAUAGUACCAUAUAUGUGAACAGUGCCAUUUUUCCUUUUAUGCUCCUCCUAAGGUUUUCGACCGUCCUAAGUUCAAAAGUGAUGUCCGUUUUGCCGUCUGAUCUCUCGUUUAUUGUGAAAUGACCAUGUUGCCCCUAAAAUACAUAAAAUACUUAAUUAAAAUAAAAACACACAUAAUUAAAUUACAAGAAGCUUAAAUACAUAAAAGUAAGGGUUAUUAGUAAGACGUGAAAUGUAAAAUGAUGAUUUUCUCCUUUAUAAAUAUACAUUUUCUAACACUCAACAACUGCUAUGAAAAUUAUUUGAGAUAACGAGUUACAAGGAUUGUUGUUACUUAGUUCUUUACCUGACAAUUGGGGGACAUUAGUGGUGUCAGUGAAUAAACCAGAGCUGAACAGGAAAUUAACAUUGGGUAUAGUUACAAAGAGGUUACAGAAUGAAGAAUCUAAAAAAAAAAAGUGUUGAAGCAGUUCUCUCUAAGUUAGAUGCACUCCUUUCAGAAAAGCAAGAAAGACGGGGGAGAAGUCAAACUAGAAAUUCCGCCCAACAGAACAAUGAUAACUGUAGAGAAAUAUUUAAAUCCCAAAGGAGAAACAUGAAGUGCUUUCAUUGUCAAAAAAUGGGUCAUGUUAAAAUGGAGUGUAGAUUGUGGAAAAGAGAACAGGCGAAAGAAAAGGGUGAUGCUCAGAAAAAUGACAAAGACAACAUUGCAGCCAUAGUUGAUGGUCAUAUGUGUAUUGUUUAUGAUGAGUGCUCGGUAAAUCUCACUUGCCACACCAGUGAUUGGGUGAUUGAUUUGGGUGCUUCGCUUCAUGUUACUGCACGUCGUGACUACUUCACAAACUAUGUUAAUGGCGAUUAUGACCAUGUUCGGAUAGGAAAUGAGAGAGCAUACAAGAUUGUGGGCAUAGAAGAUAUUUGCUUGGAAACCAGCAUUGGUUGUAAGUUGUUGCUUAAAGAUGUCAGACAUGUACUAGAUAUUCACCUUAAUUUGAUCUCUAUAUGUAAGCUUAAUGAUGAUGGUUAUACUAACCAAUUUGGUGAAGGAAAAUGGAAGUUCACCAAAGGCUCCCUAAUGUUAGCUAAGGGGGGAAAGUAAACACUCUCUAUGUGAUAGAAGCCAAGAUUAAGAAAAAAGAUAUGAAUGUGCUGUAAAAGAUUCUGACAUUGAGACAAGGCACGAAAUGCUUGUUCACAUUGGUGAGAAAGGGUUAGAAACUCUUGCCAAAAAAGGAUUUAUACCCAGCUUCGCAGGUAUGUCCCUCAAGACCUGUGUUCAUUGCUUAACUGAAAAGGCACACGAAGUAGCUUUUAAAAUCUUUUCUCCAUCUAAAAAGUCACAAAUACUUAAUUAAAUUCACAUUGAUGUUUGUAUGAUGCAAAGUAAAUCAAUAGGAGGUGCACUUUAUUUUGUGACUUUUAUUGAUAGAAAAGUGUAGGCCUUUACUUUGAAAUUUAAAGACCAAGUGCUUGAUACGUUUAAGUUUUUCCAUGCUUCUGUUGAGAGAGGGACAUGAAGAAAAUUAAAAUGUGUCAGGACAAAUAAUGGUGGUGGAUACAAAGGACCAUUUGAGCAAUAUUCCAGAUCCCAUGGAAUAAGACUUGAGAAUACUGUACCAAAAAGUUGCAGAAAAGAUGAAUAGAACGAUUGAAGAGAGGGUCAAACGUAUGCUUUAUGAUGCAAAGCUUUCUAUAUCUUUCUGGGUGGAGACUAUGCGUACUGUAGUUAACUUGAUUAACAUUUCUCCUUCAACUCCAUUAGAUGGCGAUGUACCUAAAAGAGUCUAGACAGGGAAAGAUGUUUCUUAUAAACACUUAAGAGUGUUUGGUUGCAGAGCAUAUGUUCACCCUCUACAAUCUUACUGGUCUUGAUUUUUAUUUUAUCCUCUCAUUGGCAAUCAUUUGAGAUACCCACUUGUUAGAGAGACGAAUAUUAGGCUAUUACUGUAGGCCAAGAAUAUUGAGAUUCUCGAAGUUGUUAGUCUCCAAUAUUAUCUAGAGAAGAAUUUGUGUUGUAAUCCCAUUAAUAUAGUGGAAGAUUAUAUCAGACUACAGCCCCGUAGUUUUUCUCGCCUUGGGUUUUCCACGUAAAAAUUUGUCUCUUGUGGUUGAUUUAUUGUUUUGGAUUUUGUUGGUUUAUUUUUCUGCCUAUUUAUUUGUGGUCCGCAUCCUAUUUUAAUAACACAAAGAGGAAAAGAAUUUUAUUUUCGCUUAAUUUGCGAUUACUUGUGUGAGUCCCUUUCCCAACAAAUUGUUUAAGAAUUGAACUACUCAGUUCAGUUUCUGAUUGAGGUAGGACGGUUGAGUAGGAUAAGCAGGGUCCUUUCUGGAGGUCAUAACUUGGGAUACAAUAGUCAUUUUUUUGUGUAUAAUAUAUCAUUUCGAAACUUGUGACAAGAUGAUGUUGAACCAGUAAUUCCAUUUCUUUCCUAGUCUUUUUUCAAUUUUAAAAUAUUUUCCUAUUUUUUCUAUUACUUUCAAGAUUUUUAUCUUUUUUCAAAUAUCAUAUUUAGGUACUUUUUGUUUUGGUUUCCUUAUUUAGUUAAGAGAAUUUUAUUAUAAAAUAAUAUUUCAAAUUUGCCAAUUUCGAUAAAUUAGCAAUAUUUAGGAUUAUUAUAAAAGGAUCCAAAAAAACUGAUUUUCUUCAUUCCGACUUUUCCUAAUAAAAUUUUGUUAUUAAAAAAUCUAGUUUCUCUUAUCUUUCAAUCUUUAUAUUUUUACAUCGUCAGAGGCCUAUUAAACAAAGACUUUCCUUUAGAGGUAACUCCAUUAUUUUAUGGUAAACUAUAAGCCUCACAAUAUACUUGCAAUUUCUCGAAUUCCAUUGUGUGUGCUAGUCAAUAUUCGACCAAUCACUUGCUAUCCGUACUAAACAAAAAUUGCAUUAAAUAGGGGAGCCCCAGGAACUUGGCAAUGCGCCCAUGUAUGUAGCCCUCGGUACAUCAAUAAAAGCACGAAUAAUUGCAGCCGUUAUCUUUGUGAUGAUUGUACGUUGCUGACAUUAAAUCGUGCUAAAAGUACUUCUAAGCACGUCAGUGUCCAUUACCCAUGAAUUGAGCUCAUUAUAUAUUAAUAUUAAUUCCUUUAUAUCCUUGUGGGAAUUGAGAACCCUCAUAUAUAUCGAAAUGAGCGACAUGGCAGCAGUGUCGUGAUUAAAUCCUGAAGAUCAAUUCGCAUUAUUUGUUUUCUUUUUUCCAUCAGGAAAUCUUCCUUGAGGAGCGGAAACUGGUCUAAAGGAUAGUACUUCGUGCACGCCUUGAUGAAUUUUGUAGUUGCUGGUGGAUGAACAGUGCUGUAAAUAGUAUCUGAUAAACAGUAUCUGUGAAUAGUGACGUAAAUAGUGUCAACAGCUACUACUUAUGGAGUUCUUUUGUAUGUUGAAAUUGAUGUUUCGGCAGGUUUUGAAAUUCAAAAAAACAAUAUUAACUCGUAUUUCCAACACCAAAAACUUGGCAAUGCACCCACGCAUGUAGCCCUCGGGACAUCAAUUAAAGCACAAAUAAUUGCAGCAUUCGUCUGUGCAAUCAGUGUACAUUGAUGACACUAACUCGUGCUAAAAGUACUUCUAAAUAUGUCUGUGGGCAGUGCCCAUGAAUUGGCUCGUUAUAUAUUAAUAUUGAUUCCUUUAUAUCCUUGUGAGAACAUGAGAACUAUCAUAUAUUAAAAUGAGCGAUGUGGCAACAUAGCUAACCCAACAAAAUAUGAUAUAAUUAUUUCCUCAAUUUUCUGUUAAAUAGUAAAAACGAACGAACAAUCAUUGAAAUUGAAAUUAAUUGAGGUAAUUACUAUGUUAUUGUGCUAUUCAAAAUAAAAAUGUCUUACAUACCUUAUUACCAUGAGGAUUUUAGAAUACGUCUCUUGCUGUAGUAAAACAAUGUCUAAAACAUAUAUUAUUGUAACAAUUAAACUUUCUAUUUUAUCAUUACACGACCAUUUUCAGAAUACAUAAAAAUUGCUUUCUAUCAUUGAGCUCACAUGGCUUGCUGUGCUAUGGCUGAUUAACUUGUAAGCUAACUCGCAAAUGAUAUUUUGCCACAUGGAAGCAACCCCCCAACCCCCUCUCAUUCUUGCCAUAUAUCAAGCAAGUAGGUCUAUAAUACGUAAUGGUAUGGGGUCGGGGGUGGGGAAGCUCUUUUCUUAAAAGUUUAUUCAUUUUUUAUUCUAAUCCAUUAUAAGCAACAAUUAUGACGGCGAUGUAAUUGAUUAAUUAAUAUGGAAUGCUUUUAGCAGAAAUGAUUAAAAUUUUAUUCAUUUUUCUUCUUCUUCGUCCUUUUUUUUUCUUGCUAAAAAGACCAAAAUAACAAUACAAUAAAAUUGCAUCCAUCACGCCAUGCCCUGAAAGAGUCAGUAGUAGAGACAAAACCCAUAAAACUAGCAUAUAACAGGGAACUUAGAGGAUAUGCUUAUACAGAUUCAAAUCCAAUCAUAUAAACUAGCAUGAGAUAUAUAUAACGAAAAAGUUUAAAAAAAUUAGAAAAUUAACAAUAAUAACAUGACAGUAAUAUAACAAUGCCACGUAUGUUUGUGAGAAUUUAUACUGGUGGUCUUACUCAGUUAAUAAGAUAUUUAACGAACUAAUAUAUAACUCUUUUAAUAAUUACAGCUUUUUAAUGAUUUGUUGUGUAUAUGCUACAUUCUUUGAUAUAGGAAUUUGAAAUUUAGCUCCGUUAACUAUGUGUGCUAUAUUUUGGCUAGCUGUUGCCACAAAAUGUUAAUCUCUAGUAAUUUUUUGGCAUGAUGGACAAAAACAAAAUUAUGCAAAGGCUGCAAUUUGAAGCAACGAUCACAAAUAGUUCACAAAUGAAUAGAUUGAUCCACAUGAAUUGAGGAAACAAAAUGUCAAAACGAAGCAUAGGUUGCCAUUUCAAACUACAAGGGCAAAUAGUUCAGAAAUGUGUUCCACGGGAAUUGCCUGAUCUUGUGCUUAAAGCAAACAUAAGGGCAUAAUUUUAUAUAGCAACCGACAAGCUGAAAAUAGAUAAAUACUUUUCCGUUUUUCUGUUAAUUUAAUAGAACUGCCUUUGAAAUCUCCUAUUAUCAUACAAAGUUACAAACCAUUUAUGCGCACUUGUCCUUUGUUUGCUUCUGUAGCCUUCUGUCAUCAAAUAUAUAUUAUCCAAGUCUCAAGUAAGGGCAUUUAAGUAAAUAAAGUUUGUAUUAGUUAAUUUUACAAAUUAAGUUUUCAAGAAAAUGGCAUAAUCAAUGUCUUUGCAUAUUCUUUUAGUACUAUUAUUCUUGAUUCUCUUCUUUAGUUCAUCUUUAGCAAUUCCACUGGCCACUUACAGUAUGAUCAGUUUAGGAGCCAAAUUUGAUGGCCGGACUGACUCAACGAAAGCCUUUCUAGCUGCAUGGGCUAAAGUUGUGUCUCAACCGCGGCCUCAACCAUUUACGUGCCACCUGGGAGGUACCUGUUGGGAAAAUACAGUUUUUUAAAUUUUUAUAAAACCUUUUAAGAUCGCUCUCAUACAAUAUAUAAUAAUUUGUAAUCGAGAAAUCGUACCUUAAAAAUCCGAUUUGGCUUUUUCCGCUGAAAUGAUUUAGGCUCCCAGAUCACAAUCCGUCACCAUCACGCUUGUUAGAACACGAACUGACACCAAUGAUCUUCCAGGUUAUGACUCAGGUUUGAUCUGCACUUGACGUGUGGGCGCCUUUAUCACUGCCAAAGCAACUAGCACGAGAAAAUUUUUCUCUCAACAAUAGAGAGAAAAAUCUUUUUCUCUGAUCUGUAUAAAAUGGCUGCCCCCUCUUUCUUUAGAGAAAAUAAGCUUUUUUAUAUCUCCCUUUAGUGAAAACCCUAAGCUCCAAAUAAUGAAAAUCAAAACUCACGUUACUUGCUUUUUCUAUAGGGGACCCACCUUGUAAAAUAACAUAAGGCCCCUUACACACAAGCUAAUUAAAUGGAGUCUCCCACUAAAUGAUAUAUUUAGGCUUUUGACCCAAAUAGCUAGUUAUCUUGCUUAUUAAUCCAGUAGUGGUGCAGUCAAUUAAAUGAGCUAACUCGGGGAUCAUUUGGGAAUAUACAAUAGUGGCUAUAACAAUUAGGCCUGUAAUUAAACUAGCCUAAUUAUUUAAUUCCAAAUCUACUCCACUAAAAGAUUGGAAUUGACCUCCAUAAUUGUAUGUUGGAAUAAUAAUUCGUCCCAAGCCACAUUGAUUUCUUUACUGCACAAUCCUUUGUACCACAUCAUUAAUUAAAUCAAUAUCUCAACUGUCCAAUUGAUUUAAUUACAUCUUAUUCCUUGCUGCUUACUGGUUUUCUCUAAUGAUCAUUUUCAACAUACUAAAUAUGUUGACACACUCUGGCCAGAUAAUUCUAUGAUCAAGUGCCGAAAACCAAUCAAGAGAUGUGUUGUACAAAUUCUAUAUUGUUAAUCUAUAACUCCAAUACUCAUAAAUGCUCCCACCAAGAUACCGGGUAAUCUAGACUACAAGUAUGUGUCAUGCCCAUUGGUAACUCAAAUGGAAUAACAAUUACAAUCAUGAAAUUAUAAUUAACUCAAGAUUAAGAUUACGGUAAAAUCAAUGCCUAUGAGAUUUAAUAAGUCUGACAAUUAUUACAAAGUUAAUUAAAUCUCAUAUGUGAUCAGGUUCAAUGUAGUCGUACUACAUCAAUAAAUUCAUACAUGAUUAAGACAAAUUAUUCAAUGAAUUUAUUACAGUCUAUACCUAAAUAAAGUGCCCAACUUUAUUUAUCAACUGCGAACUAAAUUUAUUUAAUAAUAAGAUAACUUGUAUUUAUGUCUUCUGUGAAUCCACAUGGUGAUCACAUAAAUACAUAUAAUAUAAUUAAAUGGACUUUAAUAAAAAUAUUAAUGCAAUUAAGAUAUUUGAAUAAAAUAUCUCAUUAAUUUUAUUAAUCAGAAAAAAUAUUUAUUACAAUUAAAUAAACAUAUAUGCUUUUAAAGAGCAUAUUUUCCCAACAGUACUUGCUACACAAUGUUGUGUUUCAAGGCCAAUGCAGGAACAAUGACAUUACCAUACAUAUUGAGGGGACUCUAGUGACUCCAUCCGAUUAUAAUGUCAUUGGAGAUGGGGGAAACUGGAUUUUAUUUGAGCAUGUUAAUGGCGUUUAUAUUUAUGGUGGCAUCCUUGAUGGCCAAGGUGCUGGCUUGUGGGCUUGUAAACGAUCAGGCAAUAAUAAUUGCCCUAGCGGUGCCACGGUAAGUUGGAAGAUCGUUACUUUUAAUUAUAGCCAUAAAUUAAGUAGCUUUUGGUUUCGUUAUUCUCCUCAGAUUAAAAUAAUUGAUAACGUUCCUUCUUGUGUAAAUGAGCAGACACUGGGCUUUAGCAACUCAAACAACAUUCUGAUUAACGGACUAACAUCCCAAAAUAGGCAGAUGUUUCAUGUUGUCAUCAAUGGAUGUCACAAUGUGAAAGUACAAGGGGUGAGAGUCUCGGCCUCAGGAAACAGCCCUAACACCGAUGGCAUUCAUGUUCAAUCAUCAAGUGAUGUCACAAUUUUGAACGCUAGAAUUGGGACUGAAGACGAUUGUGUAUCAGUUGGCCCUGGCACCACCAAUUUAUGGAUUGAAAACGUUGCUUGUGGUCCUGGCCAUGGCAUCAGGUAGAAAAUAAAGAACAUGCAUGAUGAUUUAUUUAUAUCAUUUUAUUUUUUUUAUAUGUCAUAAUAUUUAGUGCUACUAUUGUGAAUUUGUUGCAGCAUUGGUAGCUUAGGCAAAGAGCUACAUGAGGCUGGAGUGCAAAAUGUGACAGUAAAAACAGUGACAUUUUUACAGGAACUGAAAAUGGAUUGAGGAUUAAGUCCUGGGGAAGACCAAGCACUGGAUUUGCUCAGAACAUUCUUUUCCAACAUGCUCUUAUGAAGAAAGUCCUAAUCCCAUCGUAAUUGAUCAAAAUUACUGCCCCGACAACAAGAAUUGCCCUGGAAAGGUUUUUAUUUAUCACAAGUUUGUAUGUGAGAAUGUUAGACGUUGAUGUGAAUAAAAUUAAACUUAAUAAUUAUAUUUUCUAUAUUCAACAGCCAUCAGGAGUUAAAAUCAGUGAUAUGACAUACCAAGAUAUUCAUGGAUCAUCUGCAACAGAAGUUGUUGUAAAGUUUGAUUGUAGUCCAAUGUAUCCAUGCUUUGGCAUAAACUUGGAGGAUGUGAAGCUCAUUUACAAGAAUCAACCAGCUGAAGCAUCGUGUAGGAAUGCUGAUGGAUCGGCCUCUGGUUUUGUUCAGCCAAAUAGUUGCUUGAAAUUGUGAAAAAUAAAAUUAAUUCUUGCGUUAAAUUGCCUAUUUUUAUUUUUCAUUUCCUUUUUAGUGAGCCUAGGAAUGUUCCAUGGGCCUGUCUGAGAAAACCCAUUGGGCUUCUUGGAGGAUGCUUAUACUAAUUGCCGUAUAAGACAAAAUCAAAACUUCACUCCUUUCUACUCAAAGAAAUGCAGUCGUAUGUUUUGGGUAACAUUAUCUUAUUGCAGUACUAAUGUUUGAUCCGAAAUUCUGCCUUUUUUUUUUUUUUUUGAGAAGGGAAAAAACUUCAUUAAUAAGAAGAAAUUAAACACAGAAUUUGUGCUGGGAUAUUUCCCAGCCAUACAACAGACUCUGCACCUUUUAAGGCUAUCUUAGCCAAGGUAUGGGCAUUAACAUUACCAGACCUAGGGGUGUGUUGAAAUUUAACUUCCUGGAAGUCUUUUUUUCUGCUUUUGAUAUCCGAAAUCAUCCAAAAAAUCUCAGUUUUGCUACCCUUUCUGUUGUUUGCCAAGUCAACAGCCACUUGACAAUCUGAUUCAAAAAUAACAGAGGUUAUGCCUGCACUUCUUCCCACUAUUGAAACUAUUAAAAUUAACAUUUCCUAUUAAAAUCAAAUUUGAAAUCGGGAGACGGCCUUUCACCCACCCACUCUGUUUGGGCGAUAGCCCAUUGCCCGGAUUGAGAGAUGGCUAUCGUCCAACCAUCGCUCAAAAAAAAUAAAAAAUUAAUGAAUUCGAUUUAAUGGAGUUUAUGGUAAAAAUUAGUUUUCAUCUUAUUGUCUAGUCUAAUAUAUAAUUUUACUUUUGUAUGUUAAUUUUUUUUUAAUCGUAAAGUUAAAUGAUUAAAUAAUAAGUAACGUCGUGGUGAAUAUGAAAAGUAUUAAAGAUCAAAAGAAAUUCUCCUUUCCAAUCAAUAUCCUUUUUCUUUUAUCUUAGUAAUAUAUCAUUCAUUCAUCAUAUACAUGGGUAUGAUCGAAUAAGAAAUUAAUAUGAAACAACUGUCCAAAAUGAUAGGUAGCAUAUAAUUUAAACUGCAAGAUAUUUGAGAAGUGUAGUAAAUAUCUAAGAAUUAUGUAUCCUUCAGUGGCACAUAAUUUAAUUACUUAUUUAAGAAUUUAGAAGUAAUGUACGUUUGGUAAAAUAGUAUUUAAAAAAUAAGCACAAUUAAAAUCAGCGUACUGGAUUUAAAUUUCAUGCAAACAGAGAAAUCUGAGAUCUAUGUAAGAAUUUUUUUUUUAACUAAAGUUACUAAUUAACUAAACCAACAAUUGUUUUAUUUUUAAUACAUAGUUUAAUAAUUAUUAAAGUAAAUAAUAUGUUUUCUUAAUCUAAUUUCUCCACCAUUUCUCAUUUUCUCCGGACUCUUCAAUUCGCCCUCUUUUGCUUCAGUGUGAAAAAAUGCGGUCAUACUUUAGUCAAGAUUAGGUGGCAAGCUAGCAGUUAUCAAGCACAAGUAAAACAACGUACUAUACUAGACCAUGAAAAAUGAAACAGAAACAACAACAACAACAAUAAUAAUAAUAAAGGAAUAAAAUGAAACAAAAUAUUAAAUAUAACAACUACGUAAGCAUAAAGACCAACUCGAGCCACAAUAAAAUUUUUGUUUGAUCAUUACACGAUCAUUUUCAACAUACAUAAAAGCUUAACCAUCCACUAAAAAUAUUUCGUUAUUAAAAAUACUACAAAAGUUUGAAUUUAUUUGAUUUAAUUCAUCUUGUUUUUAGAUUGUAUCCGUUAUCCACUAAAAUGUUAAGUUAUUAUAAUUGAUGGCAUCACAACGGUAAUUUAAAGAUUUAACAUACUAAAUUCAUAAAUUAAAUAAUAUUUUAAGAUAUAAAAAUUAAAAUAAAACUAUUUUUUAUCUAAUCCUUCAGACUUCAUACACCUCAAAUGACACAUUAUAACAUAAAAUUAACUUUUUAUUGCAUAUCAAAGAAUAAAAUCAACGAUGAACAAGAAUAAAAACAAUUAGACCUAACUUCAUCUUCUUCUAAUUAUGAAGGAUUUGGUAAGAAAGAAGGACAGCCCCAGAAAUUCCAGCAUCAAACAUUCAUCGAAGUGGGGCAUGUUCAUCAUAGCCACUGCUGCUGCUGCUGCCCGUCAUUGCCUACUCUGUCGGCCUUAUGGACAGUUGCGACCUCCCAGAGACUCCUGAAUGGCCGGCCUUCAAAGUCCAAGGCAAGUUUUGUCAAUAAUCAAAGGUGGUUGAAGGAUUUGGUGGGAAACGAUAUUGGCAAAUGAAGGAUUUCACACAAAUUGUAUAUUUAUUUCAUGAAUACUAAAAAUUUAGAGAGAUAUGACAAGGAAGAAUAUGGCGAGAUGUUUUACUUAUUUUUGUUUUUAAUUUAAUUAAGUUAAAAAUAGUAAAGUAGUCAUUUUGUUUAGAUCCUUAUAAGUACUUUAGCAAAGUUAAUAUUUUGGUGGACGGUUGAUAUAAAUUGAAAACAAUGAGUGUAAAAUCGAACAAAUUCAAACUUUUUGAGUAUUUUUUAUAACAAAAUAUUGUUUGGAUGGAUGAUUGAUAAUUUUCCAAAAAAGAAUAUAUGUGUUGUGUCCUAAAAUAAGUUUAUAUGACUAUUUCUUAAAAUUUGAGGAAGUGUAUGCUAAAUCUUUUAAUUUUGCCAGACCACGAAAUGUCACAGUUCUUUUCCAUAAUAAACAAAAUAUUUAUUUUAAAAAAUAUCAAUUAAAUAUAUACACGUACUAUAUGAGACACAAACCUAAGACCUAGGUCUUGGUAAGGUUGCCUACUAACCAGAGGAGCCAGACCUUAGUGUGUAAUAAUGAAAACAUGUUAAUUGAAUCUGUCACACACACACACACACACAUUCUUGUUAAAAAAGCAACAAAAUAACAACACAAUAAAAUUAUACCCAUCAUGCCAUCCAGGGUUGGCUUUAAGGGAUUCGGGGCCUUAGCGAAUUUCGCUUUAGGUCUUUGUACAUUGAACAACAUCAACUUUUGAAGGAUAUAUAAAAUAACUUAAAAUUUAAAUUCUUUUGGAUUACACAAGCCGUAUAUCAAUAUAAAAUUAAAAAUAAAUUAAAUUUGUAAAAAAAAAGAAUAAUAAUAAUUUAAAAUAAAUAAUGAAUAAUAGCACAUAGAAGUUGUCUAGUGGAGAUGAAUAUGAUGAUUAAUUGAUAUCAAUAUAUUUCUUAGAGAAUAAUUUUCUUUGCAGAGAAGAGAGAAAGAAAUAUUUUAGUUGAGAUUAUUAUUGAUUCAAUGUCUAUUAGUUUUGAGAUUCUUAAUAGAGUUUGAAGGAAUACUAAAAGUCAGUUCUUAUGCUAGUAAUUUUAAUAGAGUAUUCUUUUUGAAAAUGAAAGUAUUUAUUUAAUUUUUUCCUUGGAAACAUUAAUAAAUAAAGAAUUAACUAUAAAACUAUUAAUCCUACCAUAUGUGAAGAUUAUCAAAUAUAGAUUUUUUAUAAAAAAAUAAAUCUUAUUUUUAAGGUGAAGAUUAUGAAAUAUACAAUUUUUAUUGAGAAAACAAAUCUUAUUUUUGGAUAAUUAUAAAUGGGUGUAAUAAUAGGGACAUAUCUAAAAGUUAGGCUUUCUAAUAUAAAUAACUUAAAUAAAAUCUUUGAAAUCUUAGAAGAAUAAUUAUUUAUUAGCAUAUUAAUUAAACAAAUGUCAAAUAUUGGGCCUCUCUAAAAUUUGGGGCCUUAGGAGACCACCUAGUUUGCUUAGUACUAAAGCCGUCUCCAAUGCAUGCCCUAAAAGAGUCAAGAGUACAAACAAAACCAAUAAAACCAACAAAACUUGAUGAUGAAAUUAAUAAUUUUCCACAACUUAUGAUAGGAAACUUAGAGCAGAUGUUCAUAUAUAUUUAAAUUCAAUCAUAUAAACUGAUAUGAGAUAUAAACAGUGAAAUUUAAAAAAAAAUAGAAAUUGGAAAUUAAUAAAACGCAGUAAGAUAACAAUGUCACAUAUGUUUGUGAGAAUUUAUAAUUUAUGUGCUGCAUACAUGCCUCUACUGAUAAACACAAAUUCUUGAUGAUUUGUUGUGUCUAUGCCAUUUAUAUUCUUUUAAAUAAGAAUUUGUUAUGAAUUUACAUGCUCAUUUGCAUAUUUAUAUAAAUGAUUUAUAACGAAAGAAAAAAGCAUGCAACAACGAAACGAGAUAAGAAUAUGGUAAAUAGCCGAGAGAAGCUUUAGGCUUCUUAUUUUUCAUUCCUUUUUCUUUCUUGAGUAUUACACACAUAUACACAAUUUGUGGGGGUGUUAUAGUAAUUUCAUAAAAUGGCAUAAUGGUGAAUCCACUAUUCACAAUACCCCCCUUGGAUUCACCAUUUAUUUUACAUAUAAUGUAAAGGUAAUAUUAAAUGUGCUUAAUACUGUCUUGUUAAAACCUUGCCAAUAAAAUUUAGUGGACCAAAAUCUAGUCAAAGAAAAAAGAGUACAGUGCACAUCUAUCUAAUACAGCUGCAGAAACUCUUAUCGUCAAAAAUAUGCUCCUUGAUAAAAUAUCUUCUCAAUUAUUCAUGUGGAAAAUCUUAUAUCAGUAAGUGUUUUCAACUGAUUUUGGGGUAGGAGAAGCCAAACCAAUCUAGAACAAUAAAUUUAUAUUUUUGGGGAGAUGGGGUACCUCACUAGUUUAUUGUGUGCGGUACGGUGUAUCUGAAAUUCGUGGGAGGUGAGAAGGGGAGAGAGAGUGGUAACAAUGGUGGAAGGUCAGAAACAAGAGAGGUGUCCUUCAAAAUGAGCUUCACGCCUGCAAAAUAGUGAAAUAGAGGUUAGAGGUGAAGCCGGGGUACCCCGGCAUUCACGCUCCGACGCUCAAGUUAGCAAACUCAAGCUUUUAUGGCAAAGAGAGCUAGUUAGCCCUCUGUAAAUUAGGGUUUAAGGGUGAAGAAAACCUCUUUUUUUGGAGUGUGAUUGUUUUUGGGUGAAUGAGAGCCUCAUGGAGAAUGAAACCUAGGCACCUUUAUAUAUGGAGUACCUCAGCUGCCACGUGGCGUACCCUUUUUGGCUAACGUCCUUUUACCUUUUUAUGAUUUUUGGGCCGUUAUGUGCAUGUUCGCGGCGUAUCUCAUCAUUUGGAAACGUGGCGCGCGCUGGAGAGUGGUCCAGGGUACCUCUGCAAUAACUGUCGGGUAGGCGGCUGAGAACCACUGUCAUUGGGACAAUGUGCUUCACUUUUGGCAGAGGUAGCAGGCGGCUGUCCCCCCCUUUUGGUACGACGUUCUUGAUUCCUAAUUCUGACAAAAUCGAAUAAUAUCUUUUAAGAGGUGGAGACGUUUCUCAUGACGGAUAUUUUCGGAGGAUUCUCUUGCAUCUGAUCUGCCAGGUACCUCGAGCUACGUGGGGUACCUCAAUUUAUGUGGGGUACCCCUAAUUGUGCGGGGUACCUCGUAUCAUGUGGGGUACCUCUAUUUGUAUGGGGUACCUCUAAUUGUGCGGGGUACCUCUAAUCAAGCAGGGUACUUCUAAUUACGUCGGGUAGUUCUAAUUACGUCGGGUACCUCUAAUUGCGCGGGGUACCUCUAAUAAAGCCGGGGACCUCUAAUUACGUCGGGUACCUCUAAUCAUGCGGGGUACCUCUAAUCACGCGGGGUACCUCUAAUCAAGCCGGGUACCUCUAAUUACGCCGGGUACCUCUAAUUGUACAGGGUACCUCUAAUCAAGCCGGGUACCUCUAAUCAUGCGGGGUACCUCUAAUUAGGCUGGGUACCUCUAAUCAUGCUGGGUAUCUCAAGUUAUACGGGGUACCCGAGUCUAUGCGGGGUACCUCGAGUUACUAUGGCGUUAUGAGGGAUACCUUUGACCGUGCCGGGUACCUCUAAUCAUGCCGGGUACCUUAAAUCAUGGCAGGUACCUCUAAUCUUGCGAGGUACCUCUAAUUAUGACGGGUACCUCGGAUUGCACUGAAGUUAUUCCAUUCGUUGACACGUGGCGUUCUGCUAUCUUUCUUAUUUUUCCCCCAAACAACAUCCCCCUAGUUUCUUUUGGCGAGAAGUAUUGGAGGCAAAAGAAACUUACAUAAAAAGUAGGAGCGACACGUGGCGAUAUGAAGUUUAGCUCGAUGGACAGCUGAAUAGAGGACGCCUCUAGGGGUACCCUCACGAAAUGAAGAUCUUUGGAGUGAACAAGACUUUGAGGAGACACUUUGAUGAAGUUUCAGAGGAGAAGGCCCAUAUGGUAGAAGACCCUGAGGAGUUUCAAGUUAAGCUUGAAGACUUGGUACCUCGACAAAAGAACAUAGUUGACAAUGCUUUUGAGCACAUCAUAACCGAGGAAUGGAGUGCUGAUAUGGGGCUAGUGGUGCCAAGAGUAGAGAACUAGGUAGAUAAGCCGGCUAUCUUGAAGGCAAUUGAGAAUAGCAAGGCUCCCCACACAUCUUGGUCUGAAAGCCCAUGGAGAUCAAUUGGGGUACCUCAGAUGAAGUCGCCAUAAGGUACCCCUGAUACCGACGCUUGUGUUUAUGCUAUUUCUAGCAUUUUUGUUGAUCCCCUUAUCCUAAAUGAUGAAGGUGAAGAUAACCAUCCUACUAUGUAACCUUGUUCGGCAUUACCGACAAGGCGUAUGGGGUACCUCAGGUACCCUUAAGCUUGGAUAUCCCCUGAGCUAUCUGUUACUUCAUGGCAGGAUAACCCAAUUUUAUCAAACAUAUGGCGAUUCCUUCAAAUAUGCUUGCUGCUUAUCUCAGGCUUUCUUAGAGUUCCUCUUGGUGUACACGAGGAAUGGUUUUCUGUCAUAGGGUACCCUGAGUACUAUGGGUACCCUUAAUCUUGUUUCAUCAGUGUAUCGCGGUUUACUUAGACAUGCUUGUUGCGGUUAAUUCAUGGCGGAACAACCCAAUUUCAUCAAACAUAUGGUGAUUCCUCCGGAUAUGCUUGUUGCUUAUCUCAAGCUCUCUUAGUGUAUUUGAGGAGUGACUUUCUGGCAUGGGGUACCUCGGAGGUACCCUUAAUUAGUGUAUGGCGAUUUUUAGAAAAAUGCUUGCCGCAAAUCUUCACAAAACUUGUGGCGAUUCCUUUUGAGAGAUGAUGGAAAACCUCCUGAUCCACCAUUCACUCUACAUCAAAUAUGCAAGACAAAUAGUAAUAAAGGUGGACUGCUGGCCUACCUUUAUGCAAGAUGGUCAAAAAUCUCAUGAUCCGCCAUUUGCGUAGAAUCAAAUAGACAACAUAGAUUGAGAUAAAGGUGGCUGCUCGCCUACCCUUAUGCGAUAUGGUCGAAAAGCUCAUGAUCCACCAUUCGCUAGAAUCAAAUAGACAACAUAAAUUGAGAUGAAGGUAGCUGCUCGCCUACCCUUAUGCGAGAUGGUCGAAAACCUCAUGAUUCACCGUUCGCAUGGAAUCAAAUAGACAAUAUAGAUUGAGAUAAAGGUGGCUGCUCGCCUACCCUUAUGCGAUAUGGUCGAAAACCUCAUGAUCCACCAUUCGCUAGAAUCAAAUAGACAAUAUAGAUUGAGAUAAAGGUGGCUUCUCGCCUACCCUUAUGUGAUAUGGUCGAAAACCUCAUGAUCCACCAUUCGCUGGAAUCAAAUAGACAAUAUAGAUUGAGAUGAAGGUAGCUGCUCGCCUACCCUUAUGCGAGAUGGUCGAAAACUUCAUGAUCCACCAUUCGCAUGGAAUCAAAUAGACAAUAUAGAUUGAGAUAAAGGUGGCUGCUCGCCUACCCUUAUGCGAGAUGGUCGAAACCUCAUGAUCCACCAUUCGCAUGGAAUAAAAUAGACAACAUAAAUAAAGAUGAAGGUGGCUGCUCGCCUACCCUUAUGCGAAAUGAUUGAACCUCAUGAUCGACCAUUCGCUCAUAAUCAAAUAUGGCGAACAAAUAAUGAUAAAGGCGGCUCUGAUGUUGAGUAGAUUAUCAUAAUUGGAGAUAGGUCAGGUACCUCGGGUACCCUGGAGUAAGGUGAUCUCUGGAUACCCUCUUGCAUCAUAAUAAACAAUACUUUUUCUAGUAGUAUGACUUUUCUUUGUUGGAUUGGUGGCCCAAAUCGAGACUGAAACCGAGUCUUCAACCGGGGUACCCCGUUUUUCAUCUUUGGGUAUUCGAGGAUCCAAAGGUGCCUCCAAUUCACAUUUGGGCUUAAUUUGUUCCCCGUGGGGUACCCCCGCAUAACUCUAGAGUAACUAGUUAUGGGGUACCCUACCACCGAGGCCUCGGUGGUGGCUCUUGCUGCUCUGGUGGUGGCGAUCUUGGAGGUUGGGGUACCCGUGAGAUACCCUAAGUGUUAAACACUCGUCCCCGCGGGGCAACCCUUGGAGGGCUCUGCAUUUGGGGUACCCUUGGUAUUGGGGCUUCCGGCCUCUUUGGCUUAUUCUUAUUCUUUGUGACCUCGACCUUACCUUUUUGGCGCUUCAAAUGACAUUUCUCAUCCAUCUCCACUUGCUGCAACGCCUGGGAACGGGCUUAAUCUAGUCCUGUGGGGUACCCCGUAUAACUCUAGAGUAACUAGCUAUGGGGUACCCUACCACGGAGGCCUCGGUGGUGGCUCUUGCUGCUCUGGUGGUGGCGAUCUUGGAGGUUGGGGUACCCGUGAGAUACUCUGAGUGUUAAACACUCGUCCCCGCGGGGCAACCCGUGGAGGGCUCCGCAUUUGGGGUACCCUCGGUAUACCCGAUGAUGUCGCCGCCAUUUGAGAAGUCCUUUUGGCGUUUAACUUCUCACGGAGAUCUUCGUGGGUACUCUUUGCACGCCUCGUACCCUGGCUGCUGCGGGAAUUGUAAGAGGCGGUGGAACGCUCGUCGCGGGAGCCCACGGUUUGAAAAUUAGAACGGGUACCCGAUGGCCUAUGUUUUGGUUUGCUGGCCUCUGGUACCUCUUUUUUUACCAUAGCUUGGUCGCCCGUUUGAGGUGGUGGAGCAUCUAGGGUCACUGGUGGAAGUGAACUUUCGGGUGUCCGAGAUCCAACCGCCCUAAGUAUUACGUGGGCAAGAUCCUCGAAACGCUUGUGAGAAAUAGGUUUCUCCUCUUGGCGAACACCCGUCGAUUGCUUGAUACCCUUGCCCUUAUUGAUGCGAGCUACCCUUCUUGCAGGAUCACUACCUUCACUGCUGCUGUCAUCUCUCAUCUUUGGAGGAUCCCCCAUUAAACCUUCGGGAGGUACGUCGGGUGCCAUGUAUUGGAGUACACACAACAACUAGUUUGGUAACCGCGGAGGAGGCUUUUUGUACGACUCCCCACAGACGGCGCCAAUUGUUUUCAACUGAUUUUGGGGUAGGAAAAGCCAAACCAAUCUAGAACAAUAAAUUUAUAUUUUUUGGGAGAUGGGGUACCUCACUAGUUUAUUAUGUGCGGUGCGGUGCAUCUGAAAUUCGUGGGAGGUGAGAAGGGGAGAGAGAGUGGUAACAAUGGUGGAAGGUCAGAAACAAGAGAGGUGUCCUUCAAAAUGAGCUUCACGCCUGCAAAACAGUGAAAUAGAGGUUAGAGGUGAAGCCGGGGUACCCCGGCGUUCACACUCCGACGCUCAAGUUAGCAAACUCAAGCUUUUAUGGCAAAGAGAGCUAGUUAGCCCUCUGUAAAUUAGGGUUUAAGGGUGAAGAAAACCUCUUUUUUUGGAGUGUGAUUGUUUUUGGGUGAAUGAGAGCCUCAUGGAGAAUGAAACCUAGGCACCUUUAUAUAUGGAGUACCUCAGCUGCCACGUGGCGUACCCUUUUUGGCUAACGUCCUUUUACCUUUUUAUGAUUUUUGGGCCGUUAUGUGCAUGUUCGCGGCGUAUCUCAUCCUUUGGAAACGUGGCGCGCGCUGGAGAGUGGUCCAGGGUACCUCUGCAGUAACUGUUGGGUAGGCGGCUGAGGACCACUGUCAUUGGGACAAUGUCCUUCACUUUUGGCAGAGGUAGCAGGCGGCUGUCCCCUCCUUUUGGUACGACGUUCUUGAUUCCUAAUUCUGACAAAAUCGAAUAAUAUCUUUUAAGAGGUGGAUACGUUUCUCAUGACGGAUAUUUUCGGAGGAUUCUCUUGUAUCUGAUCUGCCAGGUACCUCGAGCUACGUGGGGUACCUCAAUUUAUGUGGGGUACCCCUAAUUGUGCGGGGUACCUCGUAUCAUGUGGGGUACCUCUAUUUGUGUGGGGUACCUCUAAUUGUGCGGGGUACCUCUAAUCAAGCAGGGUACUUCUAAUUACGUCGGGUACCUCUAAUUGCGCAGGGUACCUCUAAUCAAGCCGGGGACCUCUAAUUACGUCGGGUACCUCUAAUCAUGCGGGGUACCUCUAAUCACGCGAGGUACCUCUAAUCACGCGGGGUACCUCUAAUCAAGCCGGGUACCUCUAAUUACGCCGGGUACCUCUAAUUGCACAGGGUACCUCUAAUCAAGCCGGGUACCUCUAAUCAUGCGGGGUACCUCUAAUCAUGCGGGGUACCUCUAAUUAGGCUGGGUACCUCUAAUCAUGCUGGGUAUCUCGAGUUAUACGGAGUACCCGAGUCUAUGCGGGGUACCUCGAGUUACUAUGGCGUUAUGCGGGGUACCUCUGACCGUGCCGGGUACCUCUAAUCAUGCCGGGUACCUUAAAUCAUGGCAGGUACCUCUAAUCUUGUGGGGUACCUCUAAUUAUGACGGGUACCUCAGAUUGCACUGAAGUUAUUCCAUUCAUUGACACGUGGUGUUCUGCUAUCUUUCUUAUUUUCCCCCCCAACAGUAAGAACGAAUCUACUUGACAUCAAUUUUCUUGUUCUAUUUCCUUUAAUCAUUGGAGUCACAAAUGAUCAUAUCAAAUUAUCUGCUUAAAUGAAUCUCACCAAAGGCCAAAAUAUAUGAUUAGUCUAAAGUAAAAUCAACACAUGGUAUCAAUCGCACUUGCAUAUGGCGUACUCACCAUGUAGUUAUCAAAGAUUACCUGAUUAAGAAAAUCUGCGCUUUUUUAGACAACUUCGGUCUCUUACAAAUAUCGCGUUCAAAGACUGCAGAUCAGACAUUUAAAGCUUCUACAGAAAUAAUGGAUGAAUCCCUAGUUUGACAGCUUAAAACAAUUUGUGUAUUUUGCGAGAAUAUUUUUGAAAAUAUUUCAGAUUUUGUGAAUGCUACAAAAGAUCUGGGAAAGGUAUUAGGCAAACGAAAAAUAUGUUCAAUAUUUGGGAAUAGUGAUGUUGGGUUUAUGGGGAGUAUUGCAGAAAUUAUUCCCACAACUGGAUAUGCGACUAUCUAUAAUACAUAUGAAUGACUUCUUGAUUUGAGCAACUGUGUUGAUGCUUUUAUUGUUCUACCUCCUGGAUUUAAAACCCUGGAAGAAAUGUUUACUAUUGCCACAAGUCACAACGAAACAGAUAUCAUAAAGCUUUUGGUUUUCUCAACGUAAAUAAUUGUAGUGUUUUAAUCUGCUAUAUAACAUGCAAGACAAAUAAAACACGUCCCAGGACCUUUGAUAAAGAACUAUACAAGAUGCACAGAUUGAAGAAUGAAUCCAGCCAAGUGAAAACAAUGUACCCAAGAACUAGAAAGAACAGAGAAUCAAGAAACAAAAAAAUCACAGACAACACAAGAAUCAAUUACGUGGUUCAGUUGCACCAAAUUGGUACAACCUACAUCCACGGGAAAAGUUUUCUGCAGAGCUUUUAUUACUCAACAAUGGAGGAUCUUUCUUACAGAGAAUGGUUUACAAGAUUUCAGAGAACUCUUAACCCUUUCACUGAAAUCUCUCUCUCUCUGAUAUGAAUUCACAAGCUUAACCCAAAUCGUUUCAUCAGCCUGCUCUUAUAGCUAACAGAGCAACUAACCAGCUAAACCCAGAUCAAACUAAUUGCUUACACGUAGCGUAACAAACUUAACGAACUAAGAUGAGCUGCUUCACACAUCUGUCACGUGCAUCACUUAUAAGCUUCCUUUAAACGACAUGGUUGAACUGCCGUUUCAAUCUUUAAUCUUAAGUGACAACUGACAACACACGUGCUUUUCACGCGUCUUUUAAGUGCUCCUUCAAUUGCCAAAACGUCAUCGUUUGGUUCUGAUGAGUUUGAUUCACCAGCAAACCUCACAAAUAAUUUAUAUGGUAUGUUGUUGUUUUUCUUGGAUGGCGCUGUGAUGUAGGGCUUUCUCUCUUUAUCGGCACGAAAAAUCUUUAUUCAUGUCAAUAGCACCAACGAAUUGAUCGAUUUGUUUCAGGCAUAUGGGCUUGAAGUCCGCCCAAUCAAUCUGAACUUAGGCCAGAUGAUAAUAAGGAAAAAAAAGAUGAUGACGGUAAAAGGAGUGGCAAUAAAGACAAGAAAAAUGAUGGAGAUAAUAGUGAGAAGUGAAAAAUAUUAGACUUAAGUCUUCACUUAUGACUUUAAAUUCUUUUUCCUUUUUGUCUCAUCGAUGAUAUACUUAUGAAAUUUAAUAAAAUGAGCAUUAUUCAUAUUGAAAUGUUUUAGGUUUUUUUUUUUUUUAAACAUAAGCUGAUUGAUGGAUAAUCAAUCCAUUUAUUUUGUGCUCGAUCUGUAUGUAGAGAUACUAAUUUAUUUUCAAGAAAAGCUUGCAUUUCAAAUUUUCUCUUUCAAUAUUCAGCAGUUUUAGGAGCUCUUCUGGAGUUCCAAUUAACUUCAUAUUACCAACAUAAACUGCUACAAUUACAAAUUCAGAUAAAAGCACAUAGAUAGAUAUGAUCAUUAACAUGUCAUUCGUUAGGAGUUUUAUACAAAGACCAUUACAAGGGAACAAAGGAUUGUAAGGUAAUGUUUACGGUUUUCAACCUCCCAAAGACUUUGUAAUUCAGAAACAAGUCUUAAAAAAGGAAUGGUAUUAGUAAUGUUUCCCAUCACUACAAGAAAAAGUGCCUACUAUGACAGGCAAAAACUGACAUCUAAAUGGUUUCACUCCUCUUUUCCCAGGGAGAAUGGAAGCAUACAACAUCCUGAUAAACAAUAGACAAACAAUGGUAAAGUCCAUUAAUUGGGACUCCCAUAAAAAGUACACAUAAAACUAGAAUGAUUAUGAAUCACUUACGCAAUAUAGACUUCGAUUACGUUUACUCCUAUAACAUCCAUUGAUAGAACUGCACUGCAGUCACGCCUUCCAAUAUGAGCUCUAAUCCCUUCCAAUUGGAAAACACCAUCAUCCAGUAGAUAUGGAAUCCAUUCUUGGUCUAACAUCUUAGCUUCACACAUUUUUGGUCUGACAUCUUAGCUUCACACAUAGCUUAACAAUCAAGGAGUGCUCUUGAUAUUAACUUUUUUUAAGCUAAAAUUGCAUAUGAAGAAAUCAUCAGAGCGACAAAUAAUUUUGAUGCUAAGCAAUGCAUUGACUGUUGGAAAUUUUUCAAAAUAAAUGGUGUCUUAUGGUAAAGACAUGUCUAAUUAAUUGUGCCUUAUAGAAAAGAUACCUUUCACUGAAGACAUGUCUAAUUGAAUGAUGUCUUGUUGUAAGGACAUGUCCAUUUAAUUGUGUCUUAUGGAAAUGUAUCUUUUUACUAAAUGAUACAAUUUUUCAUGGUAACAUUUCACUUAGAGAUGCAUCAUUUCAUGGGACAUUUCAUUUGAAAUGGUGCUGGUUUAAUUUGAACCAUUGAUUAAAAUUAAAUAUAGAUCUAAUGGCCAUGAAUGAAGGGGUAUCAUGCAAGAUGACAACUCAAAUGAGGGGGCACAAGUAUAUCUAUAAAUAGGGGUCAUGUUUAAGCCAUUUAGACAUAAAAUUAAUGAUCCUACACUACUAUUUUCUUAGCCUUCCUUUCUAGAACGAAUUUCAACACAAAACAUCCAUUUCUUUUGUGCAUUAAAAAUCCAAUAUAUUGUUUUCUGUAGGAACAAUAUAUUGUUUCUUGGUAGACUUGCUUCAAUCAAGAGUAUUCUGGUUUUCUUUCAUCGAUGCACGAUACAAACAAACAAACAAGUGCUUCAUUGUAUCCUGGAGGCAUAUUUGCUUAACCCAUGUGCAUCACUCAAUUGGUGAGGGCAAAUAACGUCUUAAGGAAAGCGACAUUUGUAACGUGCCUUGAAGUACACAAAUUUUUCUACAGUUUACUUAUUACUAUUAUUUUUCUUCCUACAUACAGAUUUAGUUGUAAACACAUUACUUUACACAAUAAAGUUCCACCAUUAUUGUUGUAUUUCUCCACAUUUUCCAUUCCCUACAGACUUCAACGACUAACAAUCUUAAGACGUUAUUUCUGCAACAAUGGCACCAAAUUCAUCUCUUCGACAAUUCGCAAUAGAUUUUGUCAAAUUAGAGCGUUUCGAUGGUGGCAAUUUUAUUCGUUGGCAGAAAAAGUUGCAUUUCUUGUUGACAAGCCUCAAUGUGGUCUAUGUUCUCACAACACCAAAGCCUCAAGAACGUGACGAUGAGACAUUAGCGAAAACCAAAGUGCAGCAGAAGUGGGAGCAAGAUGACUAUGUGUGCAAGGGACAUAUUUGCAAUGCCAUGUUUGAUACUUUGUUUGAUCAAUAUCACAACAAACCUACAACAAAAGAAAUAUGGGACUCAUUAAAGACUAAGUACAUGAUGGAAGAUGCCACAAGUAAGAAAUUCUUGGCUUUUAAAUUUUUUAAUUAUAAAAUGGUUGAUAAUAGACUUGUGGUUGAACAAUAUAAUGAGAUUUUGUAUAUUCUUGAUCAAUUCAACCAACAUAACAUGAAUAUGGAUGAGUCUAUUAUUGCCUUUUCAAUUUUUGGUAAACUUCCUCUCUCUUGGAAAGACUAUAAGAAAAGUCUUAAAUAUAGCAAACAUGAAAUUAGUCUGGAUGGCUUAGGCCAAAGUCUUCGUAUUGAAAAGGAACUCAAGUUUAAUAAUCUUGAGGAUCAAGCUGCUAUGUCCUUUAAAAUUAAUGUCGUGGAGGAAAGGAAGAAGUUUAAGCAUUCUAAUCACCCUAAGAAUAACCAAAAGAGAAAGUUUGAUUCUAAAGAGAAUCAAAACAAGAAGAAGAAAAAAAAGGGUGCAUGCCACCACUGCGGAAAAUUUGGCCACUUCAAAAGAGAUUGUCAACUUUUAAAGAAAUAAAAGGAAGUUUCAAACACAAAUUUUGUGGCCAUGAUAUCUGAGAUCAAUGUUCUUGAAGAUGGUAAUGCAUGGUGGAUAGAUUCUGGUGCAACCAAGCAUGUAUACAAGGAUCGUAGCCUUUUCAAAUCUUAUAAAGCAAUGGAUGAUGGAAGUGUUCCUUACAUGGGAAAUUCCUCCAGUGCAGUAGUUAAAGGAAAAGGCAAUGUGCAACUAGAGUUUACUUCUGGAAACACUUUAACUCUUACUGAUGUUUAUCAUGUUCCUGAAGUUAGGAAAAACCUUGUAUCUAGUAGCCUUCUUAAAGUUUGGCUUCAAACUUGUUUUUGAGUCAAACAAAUUUAUAUUCUCUAAGGGAGGUACCUUUAUUGGGAAAGGAUACAUGUAUGAAGGAAUGUUUAAACUCAAUAUCAAUACUAGGAAUAUUUCUUCAGCUGAUAUGGUUGAUUUAUUAUCUUUGUGGCAUAAUCGUUUAUGACAUGUGAAAAUUAGAAGAUUGCAUGAUAUGACCAAUUUAGAGUUAAUUCCUAAGCAUGAAAAUGAUAUGCAUGAAAAAUGUAAAGUAUGUGCACAGACUAAAAUCACAAGAUCUCCUUUUCCAAAAAUUGAAAAAAAAACAUCUUUUUUAUUGCAUUUAAUUCAUAGUGAUGUGUGUGAUAUGCAUAGUAAUCCUACUAAAGGUGGUAAAAAAUAUUUUGUAACAUUUAUUGAUGAUUUUUCAAAAUAUUGCUAUAUGUAUUUAUUACAUUCUGAAGAUCAAGUCUUAGAGAAAUUUAAAACUUAUAAAAAUGAAGUUGAGAAUUUUUGUGACACUAAAAUUAAAUGCCUUACAAGUGAUAAAGGAGGUGAAUAUGUUUUUUUUCUUAAUUUUGUGAAUAUGUUGGCAUUGUACAUAAAACUAGCACUGCAUAUACUCCACAACAAAAUAGCGUAGCUGAAAGGAAAAAUAGGACAUUAAUACAAAAUGGUUUAUGUUAUGCUUUUUAAUAAUGGGCUUAGUAAAGGUUUUUGGGGUAAAGCUAUUUUAAUUGCAUGUCAUAUCUUAAAUCGAGUGCCAAAUAAGAAAAAAAAGGUGACCCCAUAUGAAUUAUGGAAAAAGAGAAAGCCUAAUAUUUCUUAUCUAAGAGUUUGGGGUUGUCGAACCAUUGUAAGACUAGCUGAACCUAAGAUAAAGAAAUUAGGAGAAAGGGGCAUUGAAUGCAUAAGCUUAGUAAAGCUUAUAGGUAUCUUGUAACAGAACCUAAUAGCUUCGUUGAGAUCAAUACUAUAGUGGAAUCUAGAGAUGCAAUAUUCUAUGAAAAUAGAUUUUCUACUAAGUAUUGAUUCUCAAGAGAAUGAUAAACAAAUAGAAAUUGGUCAAAAGCGUGAUGCUAAUAAUGAGCAAAAUCAUUUGAGAAGAUGUAAAAGAAUAAGGACUAUAAAAUCCUUUAGACAAGAUUUUAUAGUCUAUUUAGUUGAAGGGACAAGAGACUCACAAUCAAAACAAACCAUGAUCACACCUACUAUAGAUUCUGAUCCCCUCACCUAUGAAGAGGCAAUGAAGUCUCAAGAUGCUGCUUUUUAAAAAGUGGCCAUUAAUGAUGAAAUGGACUCUAUUAUAGGUAAUAAGACUUGGAAAUUAGUUGAUUUACCACCUGGUUCUAAUCCUAUAGAUUGUAAAUGGAUUUUCAAAAAGAAGAAGAAAGUUUAUGGAACAAUUGAAAGAUUUAAAGCAAGACUAGUAGCGAAAGGCUUUACACAAAAAGAAGGCAUUGAUUAUUACUAUUAGAGUCUUGAUUGCUUUGGCUUCAAUUUAUCAUUUUGAAAUCCAUCAAAUGGAUGUAAAAGCAGCUUUCUUAAAUUAAGAAUUAGGUGAGAAAAUUUACAUGAAACAACCAGAAGGGUUUGUUAUGCCAGGACAACACUACUAGAAAAAUGGUGUUUACUGACAUUAGAAUAGUGUGAGUAAUUACUUUUAGUGACACUUGUUAAUUGUGUCAGUAAUCUGGGAGUCAGAAAAAUAGUGACACUUGUAAGUGGUGUCAGUGUUUACUAUUACUAUAGUAUCACUAAAAUCAUAACACCAUGUUAUCAAAAUAUUACAAUACUAUAUUAGUAUUUGUGAUUACUGUUACUAUAAUAUCACUACUUUAUUUAUUAUUUAAAAAAAUAAUUAUAUAAAAUGACAUGUUGCCCAUUGAUUUGUUGAUAGAAUUAAAAGGUUGUGAGAAAUAAGAACAAAAAUCAAUUUAUAUUGCAAAACCUUUCAUAACAUUUAAAUAUUAUCACUAUAUAUUACACAAUCCAAAUACUUCAAUAUACAAGAUAUCUUAUUACAAGACAUCUUAUUCUUAUAAUUGAAUAAUCUUAACUGCUAUUAUCCAAUCAAAUUCCUUCUACUUGUAGCUGAAUUUAAGGGCUAAAUUUACCAAAUCUAAAAGCUAAAUUUAGAAGGAUUAUUAUUUUUCACUCCAUGAACAUAAGUACUGCGAUCAUGCAUUAUCACGGACAACUUCUUCAUUCGAUUAAUUUGAUGGGUUAAGGAUAUAAGUUGAAGAAGAAACACUUUAAACAUAUUAAUCAUAUCUGCAAACAAAUAAAAGAAAAAGGAAAAGAAAUUGGUUGCCAAAUUCUAACAGUUGCAAAAUAAAUUAACAAGCAAUACAAAGACAAAAGUUAAUAGAAAUAAACAUAUUUUGCUCGAAAACAAAAAUAUUCAUAAGCUAUGAACAUAUCAACUCAAUUAUCUUAAAGGAAAAUUAGAGAAUAAGAAUGUUGUAGCUCAUUUGAUUAGAAAUAAGGUAGAAUAUAUUUAACUAUAGAUAUAAAUUAAAAAAAAAGGUGAAUUCAUUCUCUUAUAUAUGAAUAAGAGAGAGUGAGAGAGCAAAUUAUAGCAUUCAAGUUUUUAGUAUAACAUCUAGUUUCAAGAAAUUGUGUUUAUUUCUCAUUAUAUAAAAAACAAUGAUUUUCCAGCUAAAAAAAAUUCAUAAUAAAAUUUAAUAUCUAAUACAACAUAGUAUGUUUUUUUUUUUAAAAAAAGGCUUGCAAUUAUGUCUUUUAGCCACCAAGCCUAAGUGUGAGAGUAAAGCAUUUAACUCUUGAUAAUUACACACUUUCUGCAUAAUACAAUUAGUGUCAACUCAUUCCAAAUUACUCUACUAGAAUAAUAAAAUAUUUCACCCAUUAUAUUGAUGGAGGUACUAAUCCAAAAUAUUCACAAUAAAUAUAGAGUUCAAGGCAAUUAAUAGAUGUACCUCUUAAAGCUCUGCAUAUUCUCUAUCUUUCUAAGGCAAUCUUUAAUUCAUAUAGUUCCACCCCCUUUGAAUUCACAAACCUAGACUUUACAAACAAAUGCCUUAUAUCAUUAAUCUUGAUACCGUUUUAACAAAAAUAUCACUAUAUUCAUAAAUAAAAAUCACAAGUUAACGCUUUAACCUCGUGUUGGGCUGUCUUAGUCUGCAAAUGGCAGAGGAAUCUACGAUAAUGUGUAUGUUUUCCUGAGAAGAAAAAGGAACAAAAAAUACUUUUGAUUAUUCCAGCAAACACCAUAGUCCAUAAUCACACCAAAAAAAAAAAAAUUUCUUUCGCCAUUUGCCUGCACUCUGCAGCAUCUUUAAAUAUCUUGUAUUCAUUUUAAGUAAUUAAAAUGGUGUAUUAAUGUUUGAAGGAUAGAAAGAAAGCAUACACUAGGCUAUCAACUUGCAUGGAAUUGGCCAAAUAUGGCAUCUGAACU
rnacentral:lncRNA from 1 species